AGUUGGAGAAGGUAGAUUUGGAAAGGUGGAUAUGAAAUCAAAUGGAAGAAUGAGCUAGAAGCAUUGAGAAGAGAGGAAAAAGAAGGAAAACCCAGGUGGGAAUUAAUGAAAGUGAUGUUGAGAAGACAUGAAUGGGGCUUGAAAUUCAAUGAAAAUGUGCUCUGCUCAACUUUUUCUUUUUAUGGUCUGAGUCUUUGGCUCAGAAUGCUUACGUAGUUGGUGAAUUUAGAAAAUUGCUUAAGUGUCAAGUGUCUCUCGAUAAUUGUACAUUUUGUUAUUAAAUUUUGUACAUUUUUUUAUUUAAUUAAUAUUACAGAAACGUAUGGCAGUAUGGUUAUUAUAUAUAUAUAUAUAUAUAUAUAUAUAUAUAUAAAGGAGGUUGUAUAGAAUGGACAGCUCCCCACCAUGACUCAUAUAGGGGUAUUGCAUGUUUCUUUUUUCUUUGAUAUAAGCGACAUUAAGUGGGGUGAGUCGAAAACUGAACUUUCAUGAUAUUUUAGUUGUUUGUGUGUGUAUGAGAAACUUUCUCUUCUAUAGUUUAAACUGUCGCUUACAAUAAAUAAAAAAUUGAGUUUGACGAUAAAAAAUUACUUAUUAAAUAAAAACCAAAGAGAAAAAGAAAGAAAAGAAGGGCAAAACCUUGACUUUCAACAUUGUCAUCCAUAAUCAAUCAUAAUCAAUCAUAAAACAAAAAGUCUCAUACCCACAUGCAACCCACCAUUGAAUUUGUUGACCAGAGGCCUAGGCCGUUUGAUUAAAGGGCAAUCAAGUAGAUUCCAUGCAUGUCUGAGUUUGCUUCCACACUGUAUAUGUUUCACCCCGCUAUACCAAUUUGAAAAAGCUUUCUCCAAAAGUAGUAUAGGCUAAAAAAGCUUUUUUUUUUUCUUUAAAUAAAGAUCUUUUAUCUUCUUCUUUACAUGGAGAAGUCAAAUCCAUGUACAGUAACAGUAGAGACCGACAAGAAAAAAAAAAAAAACAGAACCGACACCUUCCAUGCUUGCAGUGUUGACAAAACUGUAGCCUCUAGGCAAGAAAGAGGGAAGCAAGAGGCACUCUUUUUUCAAAAAGUGCUUCUUCAUAGUCAAAUGUUGAGGCAUCUGCCAAAGAAACUUAGCCCAACUGUUUUCCCCAAAAUUUCCAAACAAUGCCAACCUUUUGUUCACAUCAAGAUCACGAUCACCUAACGUUUUAAUUAGAAUGUAAAAGCCAAAAGCUACAAGCCUCUAUAUUUCAUAGUAACGGCCAAAUCUAUGUACAUUUUGUCAACCAAUCGUUCAAACAAGUUGAUGGGCCAAUGGUUCAUUGGUGAAUGUGUUGUAUUUCAUUGGCUGUUAUUUUUAGAAGAUUUUGCACAUAAUUUUGCAGCUUUUUUUUUUGAUGAAGUCCAAACAGCAUUUAUUGCAUUUGACGAAUUGAUUGGAAAUAUACCAACUUCCAACUUUCAAGCCCUAGAGAUGCAAAAGACCAGGGUGCACUCAACUCAUCAUGUACCUCGACAUCACAAAUCUGGAAGGGAGUGUUUUCGUAUUUUGUAGGAAAAUUAAAUGCUGGUUACCAAUGCAUCAAACUUGUAUUUGUGUAGGGGGACAUACAUAGAUUCCAAAUGAUUCUUUUCAACUCAUAAUAUCACACCGUAUUUAAUCAUUUCAAAAAUAUUGUAUUUAGUAUUUUCAUGAUUUUUCAAACAAAAAUGCAAUUAUAUUGUCAAUAAUAAUUUUAUUUAUUUCAGCGUUUAAGAUUAUUUGUUCUUAACAUUAUAAUGUACUUAUAGCUCACACGAAAUAUAUUAAUAGUAAAAGUUGAACAUAAGAAGAGCAGUAAAUUGAUUACAUGUUUUCAUCUACACAAUGAAAAGUGGGUGGUAAGUUUUCGUCGAUGUGGAAAACAAAAAUUCACUAUACGUAUACGUUUGUUUCUCAUAUCAUCCAAUUGUGAACCAGUAAUAUCACUUGUUAUUUCUUACGAUGAUGUUGUGCACUAUUCUAGUUUCCUUUCAUUUAACGAUGUCAACUUGGAAGUUCUAGCUUGGUCUCCAAGUUUGCUGGCCUAGAUUUGACCAUCAAACAGUGUUGCACAACGUACGAAUUAAACAUAUUACAAAUACACAGUUGAACAGUUCAUUUCCUACCUAAAAGCCUUAUUAAGCGAUCAAAUGGUUGGCAUAAGCAUACAUGGUAGUUGCCAGUUGGCAAUUGUUGGACCGUUGAUGAAGCAUACCUAAAUUAUAUUCUACAAUUCAACUAAAUAAAAAUAAAAGUGCCCCCAAGAUAUUGUGAUAUUUCAAUAAAUGUACAUUGUACGAAUUAAAAAAUAAAAUAAAACUGGGAAAAAUAAUUGAAAUGAGUCACACAUCAGUUAAAAGCACAUGGAACUUGGGAGAUGGCAACAGCUGUUGAUAAAAGCAGUUUUUCUUGGAGAAUGAGUAACAGACGUCAGGAGCAGGAGCAGUCAGGAGAUGUGAAAAAUCCUUAAUGUUUUCAGCCAGAGGUGUACCUGCUUGUCUGUUGACUCGGCCUCAGUGUCUUCUCUUCUGUUCAAAUCAAAUGGUUUCAUAUAUUUAUUUGUCACAAUUUGUUUCAUCCAGUAGGGUAUGAAUUAUGCAAAUAAUUUAUCGUUUAAUUCGCAUACAUUUUUAGCAAUUUUUUUUUUUAAAAAAACAAUGGCUUAAGGUGUUUUAAUACUACUUGUUCAAGUAAAUAGGCAUGUCAUCAUAUGAUCAAAUGGAUGUCCCUCUGUCCAGUUGUAUUAAACUUAUUUUAAUAGUUCUAGAAGGAUCGAUUAUUUUGUUAUCUUCUCUUUGUUAUUAGAAACUACAUGUAGGAUGUAGGAAUUGUUCGCAUCCUAUUUCUCAUAGAUUAGAUUAAUUUAGAGAUAAUCGCUCGUAUAAAAAACAAAAACUAUAUAUAUAGGAGCUUAAUUCUUAUUUGUACAAGAAUUAGGAAGAAGCUAAAAACCGUUUUUUAGUCGUAAAAAGUUAAAAAAUUAGAGAUAGAAAAACGUAAGUAAAACGUUGAAAUUUGGUGAUACAUUUUUCUUCUUUAUUACUUUGUUCGGCUUUGACUUCUACUCUUGUCCUACACAAAGAAGAAGAAAAAGAAACAUUGUCAUGUGGGUUUUGUUAGGGGGAAAAAAAGAAAAGGAAGAAGAAGAAGAAGAAAAUUGGUAAAUUAACUUGGUGUAUGAUUCUAUCACAUGGGUGCAAUCACGUGACUGCAUGAGGCUCUGUAGUUUUUUCUUACAUUUCCACCCAAAAGAUUAUACAAUGGCAUUUACUCAAAAACAAAAACAAAAACAAAACAAAACAAAAUAUUAAACCCUAUGUUGUGCACGUGUCAACACGUGCCUUGGAACCGUCCAAUCAAAAAAUAGACAAAAUUAAGCAUCUUCGUUCUGGUGUGAAAAUCUUGGUGUAGUUUAAUUUGAAUAUUUAUUUAUUUUGGAUAAAGUUGAACUGCAGAUAUAAGCAGGCGUAAAUUAAUUAUUGAAAUAGAUUGACUGACUUUGUUAAUUACAAUCGUACAUCUCUCAUCAGCACAAUCCUGGUCAAAUGUUGACAAGAUUCAUUCAGCAUGUUCCUUCUCCAGUGAAAACUUAUAUUUAUAGGUUUACUUUUUUUUAAUUAUUUUUUUGGGAUGAAUUGCGUAGACUUGAAUUGUUGAACUGAUUGACUAACUUUGUUAAUUACAAUAUCUAGGAGAUUCUUCUUGGUUAUUUGUAAUUAACUAACAAUCAUCAAGUGUACAUAAGAGGGGCUUUGAUUAAUCAUAGUCUAGAGUUCUGAUUUUGGUGAACAAAUUUGUUGAGUCGGGGUCAGGUGUGUUGUCCCCUCAUUGUAAUUCUUCGUUUUAUCAAUAAAAUUUCUCUCGUUCCAUCGAAGUUCUCUAAAAAAAUAAUAAUAAGAGGGGCUUUGACUAAUCAUAGUUUAGAAUUCUGGUUUUGGUGAGCAAAUUUGCAUAUGAAUUACCAAAACAACAACUUUUAUGGUAUAAUUAGUAUGCAUUGAGAUAAUAAUUGGAGUUUUCAAAAAUGAACUCAUAUGAUUAACAGAAUAUGGUUCAUUAAUUACUCACAAGCUUAUUCUACAAAACCCAAUUAUUGAGAGGGAAAGGGGUAUGCAAAAAGAUAGAUAACUGUGACAUUGUUUUGUUCGUUUUCUGUUGGUAGUAGGUACCGCACUUCCUUUGUCUUUGUAUAAUUUUUGUGGGUCAAUGAAUGUUGUAUUAGUAUCCUAAGUCUUUGGAUAGAUCUGAGCUCAGCCCAAUUUUAACACUUGGGCAUCUGGAAACGAAGCCCAAAAUAAAACCCAGAUCCACAACUAUAGAAAAUCACAAUGGACUUUAGCUUCCAAUGUUGGGGUAAUAAGCUGGAGAUUCCAUAGUGUGGGGCAAAAUAGUAACAGUGAAACUUACAUACAUCGGGUUGAUAUAAUAGUUGUGUUUACAACAUUUGUCUAGUGAUUAGGUUAAGUGUUGUGUACUCUUGUUACAAGAUCUAGCACAAUGAAAAAGAGUCUUGACUUGCAGACCAAUGAUCUCAGGUUUUAAAUCCUGAACUGCCAAUUUUUCGUUCUAAAUGCCUAAGUGAAGGGAAAAUUGGGUGUAGAGAUUUCUAAAAUCCCAUAAAGCUAUGAAGGAACAAAUCAUAUAGCCUAUGCAUAUCAUAUAUGAAAUCAAAUAAAGCGGAAACAAGAAAAUAGCUAGAGAUUCAUACUAGUCUCUACUUAGGUCCCAAUUUUUAUAGGUCUAUGACAGUUUGCACCAUUGACACCAAUAUCCCAUAUUAAAGAGAAAGUAGAAAGUGAGGUUACCUUUGGAGCAUAUCUUGAAUCUCAAAAUGAUAUUCAAGUAGAGGGAGUUGUCCCUUAAUUGUUGAUUCUCCACCUUGGUCUCGAAAUAGGCACAAAAGAGGUUAUGCUUCCCCAAAGUAUCUUCACCAAGGUAGAAUGAGAAUGAGAGAAUAAGGAACCAAGAGAAGAAAAUGGGUGCUAGUCUUUUAUUCCCUAUGGUGGCCGGCCAAGUGAGACUAGGGAGGAUGCUUGAUGUCUUCCUCUCUUCCUAAAUGCCUAACUUGAAACCCUAAGGAGGUUUGAUGUUAUGUGUAUGAAUUUAUAGAGACAUUUUGUCACACAUAUGUCCCCGAAAACCCCCAUGUACCGCAUCCUCCCUCUUCUUGGUCUUUUUGGGCUACUUUGGUCCACCACAUUAAUCCCUUAGAGCACUUCCACCCCUAUGGGCAAGGGCAAGGUAAGGGCUCUCACUAUUCACGUGAAUAGUGGCAGCCCUUGCAAUUUUGUUUUCACCCCAAUGAGUAAGGGCAAUUACUAUUCACUUUAAUUUAUUUUCUAUUUUUUAUACUUAAACUUUAAAAAUUAAUUUUAUUAUUUAAAAUUUAUAGAAAAAAAAAAUAUAGAAUUUUUUGGUAUUUUUUUUUCAAUUUUUAUUACAUAAAAAAUGGCAGUCAUUGGAUUGUAGUGAAAAAUUUGAUAGGACGCCCCGGGUGCUGCCACGUGUCUUGUGGCAGUGGCAAACAAAUUUGAAAAGCGUGCUAACGCCACGACGUCAGCAAACCUAAGCAACCACACGGGCUGGAUCUACCUUUGGGCUUGCCCAGGUUGGUGGCCCCACGUCUUACUCGGGAUGCUUUGUGCGCGCCAGAGUCAUCUCACAGGCCUAGGGCCCCUCCUGCUCGGGCCAAACUGUUGCGGUGAACUUGCUCUUAAUAUGUCAUAUUUUGCCUAAGUCCAUAAGGUCCAUUCUUAUAAAUAUUUAAGUUAUAUAGGACUAAAAUUAAGUUCCAUAACUUUAAUUAAUUCAUUUAAGCUAAUCUAAUUUGUUUAAUUGAUUUGAUGACUUAAUCAAUUAAAUCAUUGUCUUGUCUAACAAACAUUGGUCCUUGUCAAGCAUUGGUCCUAGACUGCUUUCCGUUCUUAUCUUUAUUCAUUGACUUGAAACACAAAGACCGGAUUAGGUCGACCAAUUCGAUCCAAUUAACUGUUGAAAUUCAAAAAAAUAAAAUAAAAAAUUGAACUAAACUACUUAAACCGGUCUUAUUCGGUCGAUUUGGUUAGGUUUUCGUUAUAAAUGUCAUCCUAAUAAAAGGUGUACACUCCUAAAUAUACAAAAAAAGAAGUGUACGGACCAUAAUUAUUAUGUCUACUAGACUGGAUUUUGUCAUUUGCCUAUUGGGCCCUCGUAAGUUAUGAUUGAUUUCGCCAUCCAAUUACCCCAACCCUAAAUGUCCCAAACAUUCUAUUCUCUAGUACUAUAUAUGUAGCACUUUAAUAACAUAAUUUCUCUCUCUCUUUUCCUAACAGUGCACACUCACUCAGUACCAUAUACAUUGUCCAAGUGCUGAUCAUAAUCUGAGUGGAAACAACAGUAAAUCUAGAUGAAGAAUUCGUCAAAAGCAAACACACCUAGAGAUAUUCUACAAAUGCUUUUUUCUUUCGAGUAAUAAAAUUUCUCCGGUGAGCUGCGGUUCACAAAAAGAAAUAUGAAAAAGAUGCAAAGGGAUUUGCAUAAUUUUCCUGUUGCAAAGUCACAUUUUAAUUAAACCUCUGUUUUUCUUUCUUCUGGUCAUAAGUGUAGGAUAUCAAAUACACAGAAAAUUUGGCAGGCGAAUAGCCACACAAACAGACAAACAAAAAGCCACAAGCGAAAUCAGAAACAUCAUGAUUGAAAUCUAAAAUUGAAUGCUGAUGAAAUGAAAACGAAGGGCGGAUGGCUUGGCUUCUGUCCUUUUGUGCCAACGUGUGCAGUCACAAGCAUUGUAUCUUCAGUGUUGCUUCGAGAUCACGACAUAAUAUUUAAAUGGCCAUCGGAUCGAUAAGAUGCUUUUCUUUGCAUGGCUAACUAACCUAUUUGGUCCUCUUCUUCUCGCUAGCCUUAAUGGAAUUUGGACAGAAAUUCUGAUGCUACACUGAGAAAGAAUCAAAUCCAAAACGCAAAAAUAGGAAUUUGGAGAACUUUGCAUUGAAUUCAAUGUUUGGCAAAGCACAGCGCCAAUAUUUAAUAUGAAUGGCAAAUCUAAUCCCGGCCAACAAAUCUAAACCCCCAAAAAUCAAAUAUUGACUCAAUCCUUUUUAACUAAUGAAACUAUACCAAAAGAAUUUAGAAAAUUAAAAUUAUGACUUAUUUGGAAAUGCAUAAGCACUCCUAUUCAUAAGUACUUUUUUAAAGGCGCUUCUAUUAGAAGAACGUCAAAAAUUUUAUUUAAACUACAAAUGAGCAAUUGUAAGUGAUAUGGAGAAGUAUCGAGAAGUGAUUCCUAAAGAAUCACAUGCCUCUUCAAAAAAUGCUUUGUGGUCCAUAAGCACUUAUAAGUUUUUCUAUCAAACUCUAUUAGAAGUCAAAGAAUUUCCAAACAGACCCUUAAUUUAGAUAAUGUACAUCGUUUCUUUAUAGGGAUAUUGUUGUUUGCACAACAAAAAAAAAAGCCACUUGCAUUGCUAAAAUGCACGGAGAAGUACAUCAAACUAUCAUAUCCUUGCUUGAAUUCUUUUUUUUAGUACCUUUACUGGACAUUUCUAAAUAAUAAGCUCUAGUUGUGGUGGAACAUGACAAAAUGAUACUCAAGUUGGACCUAAGUCAAAUACCUCACCAUUACAUCACCAUACUCAUUUACAAAGUGUUUCAUACGUGUGAUAUUGAAGCACCAAUGAGGCGGUUCUGGGGUGGUGUAAGUAGUGCCAUCGUACAGAGCUCCCAAUUUUUAAGGGCCCUCGAAAUUUUGUUUUCUUUAUAUUAUACAUUAUUAAUAUUAUAACAAUCGUAUGUAUAUACUCUAACGUGCUACAUAUUGACAGAAAAGCAUUUGUAGUGGAGCUGGCUUUCCAGCGAAAAAAGGGAAAUAUCAAACUUUAACUAACCAGCAACAAUAUAUAUCCCCCAAAAUGAUUCCUCCUCCCUCCGAGCAUGCUAAUUCAUCAUAAAUUAGCACGAUAGAGUAUAUAUAUGAUAGUUAUAAUUAUUAUAUAUGAUCGUUUUGGGGUUAUACAACAAUCAUAUAUUUUUUUUUAAAUUUGAUUUCUAAUUUUCAUUACAUGCUAAUUUAUGAUGAAUUUUAGUUAUAAAAAAAUUAUUUUAUAACAUUAGGUUAUGAAUAUUUUUAAAAAAUAAUUUCCUAUUUAAGUUUCGCACACGACUCUUUUUACUUUUCCUUUGAGAUGUAAAUAUAUGUACCGACCUAUAUUUCCCCUUUGCCCUUUCUUGUCCUAAUCGCAUUAUUAAGCCUUUGAUGAAUGAAACAACCACAAACAAAACCAAAAGUUUGAGAAUACGAAAAAGGACUCCUUGACCCUAAAGCCAUCACCUUGACCAUCCGGAUACAUUGGAUUCAUGGCUAAUAUAUGCAUGGUCAUUAUGGAAGCUUCCGUCAACACGUGGGAACAAUUUCUCAGCCAGACUUUUUGACACGUGGCUAUUUGUGGCCCCUCCUUAAAUUUCAUAAUAAUAGCCUACAUGUGCUUUUUGAACCCAUAUAAAAUGCUGUUGCCCAACACUUAGUUUGGCCAUGCAAAACUACAUCAUAUAUGGACUCCAGAGGAAAGGUCAUGGAAGAGAAGGAAGGCGGAGAGGUUCGAUACCGGGGCGUGCGGAAGCGGCCGUGGGGCAAGUAUGCCGCUGAGAUUCGCGACUCAAACAGGCACGGUGCACGGGUUUGGCUUGGGACUUUUAACACGGCUGAAGAGGCAGCUAGAGCUUAUGAUCAAGCUGCUUAUGCCAUGAGGGGUGGCUUGGCCAUUUUGAAUUUUCCUACUGAGUACCCAGCAAGUGGUGGCUCUUCCUCUUCAUCGUCUUCGGCUAAUUUUUCAUCAUCAGUGGCUGGGACUAGCCAGGGGAGAGGUCGUGGGGAGCAUGGAAAUGAAGUUCUUGAGUUAGAGUACUUGGAUGAUAAGUUGCUAGAGGAACUGCUUGAUUGUGAUCACCAAAAGAAGAACAAAAAAUAGUGAGGUUGGUAUCCCUUUUUGGCUUAAUAAGCAGCUAUCCACCGUCUAUUUCUGCAAGGCACAUCGCAAGGUCAAUGAUGCUCUUAUCUUUCUUUGUUGAUAUGUAACUAGAUUCUGAUAAUCACCUUUUGCCUGCGUGUGUUUUUUCAAUGAAGAAUCUAGCAAAAGUGUUGUGUGUUGUUAAGCUUUUUAAGAUAUGGUGAUUUUCCUUCUACAAAAGUAUGAUCUGCGCACAACGCAGAAAAUACAUUGUGAGUAGUAGUUGUAUGUAUGCACCUUUAAUUUUCAGGGGUUGGUAAUUUUUGACACUGACUCCAAUUUAAUAAGAAGAAGAGGAUGAUUACUGGAUCUGACACAAUUCACUAACACGAAUAACUCUGCUUAACUUGUUUUGUGUGAUGAAAAGUAAUGAUUUUCUCAUUUGCUUUUAUAAGCCUCAUAAAUUAGGAUUACUUUCAUGGUUUUUUCUAGAUUGACUUUAUGAAUUGUUUAGCUUUAGACUUUUAGUCCACAAUUUACGAAAUUCAACUUGAAUAUGACACAUAAAUGAGUUAAGUUACGUACUAUCGAACCAUUUACAAUGAUAAUUACAUAAAUCAUGAAAAGGUUGACAACUAUCCGACAUGAGUUUUUGAAGAAUGUUGAAGUUUCACUCAUAGACGGAACUACACUAUGGCUAGAGUAGGCUCUAGCCUUUAAAGGUUUGGAAAAAUGAAAUUUAAUACUAUUUUUUACGCACUACACCUCAUUUUACAAACAAAUCUCUAGUUAGCUUCAAGUUUUCCCCUAUGAUAAAAUAAAUGGAAUUUUAUUUAGAUCUUUACCCAUAUAAGAAAUAAUAGCCCACCCCUAUAAAAAUUUCUAGUUCCGUCACCUAGGGGUGCAAUUUGGAUUGGAAAAUCCGAUUCCAAUCAAUUAUGUUAUGACAAUUUCCGAUUUUGGCAAGUCCAAAUCAAUUUCGACUUCUGAAAAUUCCGAUAAAAAAUUGGAUUGGAAUUGGAAUGUAUCAAGAGAUUUGCAAAAAAUUCCUAUCUAAUCCGUCCAAAAAUCAGCCCCACUCCCAAAAAUUUGAGAUUCCACCACAAAAUCAAUAUAGUUAGAGUAAUAUUCUCUUACCAAAUUUGUAAUAUAUGCACUCAUUUUAACUAGGGUAGUACCUACAAAUAUGAAGGCACCUACCUAUUAUAUCUUUCAAGUAGUAUAUGUAUGUAAUUAAGUGUCUAAAAUCAAAAUUUACAGUUUAAUAUCCUCAACUUUUGCCCCACAUAAAAAGGGUCCUUCAAUUUCGAUUUUUCGCCUCUUUGAUUGGGGGUAAUGUUCUCGAAUUUUCACCGCUUUUUCUAAACACUAGGGACUCUUUGCAUCUGUUUGGCUCUCUUGUUGUUCUUACUCUUAAUUGUGGUUUAUUUUUGUACCACUCCCCUGUACUUUGGUUAGGCUCUUUUGCCUCCAAUCUUUAGAUAAUAAUAUUUACAUUUAAAAAAUAAAAAAACAAAAAAAAAACUUUGUCCCACACCUCUGAACAAAUUGACAGGAUAGACUGUUUUUUGAAUUUGUGGCUGAAAUGGAUGUUAUAUAAGUUAUAACAACGUUCAACAAUUGUUAAUUAUAUAAUAGUCCACUAUAGUGAUCUCCAGGCGCACCACAAAUAUACAAAUUUUUAUAUAAAAAAACCCAAAAAACGUAGCCGCCAGUCCUUUCAUUUGGAAUGUGGCCAACUUUAUUUUUCACUGUGUAAUGUCAUUUUAUUUUGUCGCAAUCAAGCGAAAAAAUACAAUUAAUUAAGAAAAAAGUAACAAAAAUACAAAAAGAAAAGGCAAAGUUGAUAGAUUCCAAGCAAAGAAAUGUAAGGUGUGGUCAAAAGCUAGACACUAAUUCUUGGGUUUUACCACUACAGAUUGGCGCUUACAAAGCAGUCUGCUGUUUCUGUUAGGCGUUUUUUUGGGUUGCAAAAUUCGAUGUUAGGCCCAAGGUUUAAAAUAUCGAGAGUUUCGAAAAUAUCGGUUGUUCAAAAACACGGAAAUAUUGAUGGAAAUAUCGAGAAAAUAUUGAUAUCGAUAAAAAUUGAAUAAAAAUCAAGAAAAUUAUGAGAAAAACUUGGAAAUUUUUAUUGAAACUUUAGAUGAUGUUUAUUUAGUCAAUUGUCUAUUAUUUUAUCACAAAAAAUUGGAAUAAAAUGCAUGGCAUGGUGGGUUAGAGUGAUUUAAGUUGAUUAUGCGCAACGACCUAACAAACACCGUGUCUUUAGAAAAUAUGUAGUAAUUAGUGAAAGAAAAUUAAACGCACCAUAAUUUUUUAGUUAUAAUAAUUUACUACAAUAUAUUGCAUAUGAUAAGAUAUAUGAGCUUGACAAAAAAACAAAAACAAAAUAUAUGAGUAACUUAGUACCACAUAAAAAAAAUUCCUAUUAAAGUUAAAACUUAGUAUCACAUAUAAUGAACAAUAUUAAAACUCAAUAGUGAAUAAUAAUACAAUUCCAUAAUAUAUAACCAAAAAAAAAAAUCCAUAAUAAAAUAAUAAAUAAAAUUAAACAUAUGCCUAAAUUUAUCAUUAGGGAUUGUUUUUUUAAAUGGAAAUUUAUCCUAGAUAAUAUUAGCUUGCAGAAAUUUUUAAGACCAUAUAAAUAUUACACGUUGUAACAUUAUUAAUAAACUCAUUCGCAGCGUGUUGGAUAAGGCCUAGUAGAUGGAUGGGAAAGAGAGUGGUUAAUCCCCUAGUUGGCAAAAGCGCCAUUUCUCAACAAAUUUCAUUUAUUUUUCAGUUUCAAUUGCGAUAUUAUUGAUAAUAUCGCGAUAUAUUGCCCAAAUAAAGGACGAACGAGUAUGAAAUUAUCACCUCUGACAUUAUCGCGAUAAUAUCGAUAUAUUGACGAUAAUUAAGUGAAUAUGGCCUAAAAUAUCGAUCAUUUAAAAAAACGAUAUUAUCAACGAAAUAUCGCCAAUAAUUUCGAUAUUUAAGACUGUGGUUAGGCCUCACCAAGUUUUGGAGGCCGUGACUUGUGCUGGGGUUUAAGAGCACUUGUGAAUUGAACUGGCUGCAAGCUAGUAUUGGGCUCAGUUAUGAAUACAUAAAGACCUCAACUGAGGCCUGCUACCUACAUACAGUCUCUGUUUUGUUGAAAAAGUUGUGAGUUCAAAUGUCAUGAACGGCAGUUGUUUUUUAUUUUUUAUUUUUAAUACAAGCUUUAGUCUUAAACUACAAGGCGAGAAGAGUUUCUCUCACACACGCAUUUGCGUUGUUGAAUGAAAAAUAAUAAUAAUAAUUUGCUCGAGUCAUUCUGAAGACGAGUUUGGUUAAAGGUGGACUUCAAAGGCUACAAAUCUAAUAACAGAGAUAUGGAAAACGAAAUUUAUUUCCUCCUUUGCAAUUGUUCCUCUCAUGUUAAACACAAAACAUGCAUGCUCAUUCAUUCUCUCUCCAAUCUUGACCAUUUUUCAUUUGUUGGGCUUUUAUUUGUGGUGGUGGUGUUAUUCGAAUUUGUUCUCUCCUGCUUGCCUGGACUUGUUUGUGUCAUUUGUCAACUACUAGUACUACGAAUCCCAGCGUUACUUUGACAAGUAAAGUACUUGUGUUUGGGACAAAUUUGUCUGUCGUCAGCAGUGGUAUGUAUAUAUAUUCUUAACCUUUAUAUCCUUGUCCAAAUUGCUCUUCUAAAUUAAUCAUUUCUUUCUUGGGUUGGGACUAAUCCUGGCUUCAUCUUAAAUUCUUAAUGGAUGAGAAAAGAAUUUCAUGAAACAAAGAUUCUCUGUUUGUGUUUGGAAACAAGGUUCUCUAUUUUCCUGUUGCGUGAUUCUAAAGUUUGUCAGUGGACUAAGCAAGUCCUGUAUUGUCUCUUCUUCAAUCUUUAUUAUGCCUUUCACCAAGGAGACCAAAAUAUAAUCUAGAUAGUGAUCCAACUUUCUCCUUUUUUCAGGAUUUGCAAAAAUCAGGAGAUUGUUUUUUGUACUUUUCAAGCACCUCUUGCACUUUUCUAGCCAAGUCUAAAUAACAAUUUUUAAAUUUAUUUUAUCAAAGAUCUGAGCCAAUCAAACUAACACUCCAUUGGUAGUAUUAUAAUUUUUGAAAGGAUUCAUUUUCCACAACAACAAAAUAAAAUAAAAUAAUAAAAAUUAUGAGUAUUCUCUAUUGAGAAUGCCCUCAAUAUAAGAAAAGUAAGAAUUUCAGUAUUGUCAUAGCCCAUAUUGCAAUAGUGGUAUUUAUAUUUCUAGUAUGAAAAGAUAUCUCAAAUUAUUUUUUAUAUUAGAAGCCGUCUCAAGUUCGAAUCUCUUUUUUACGUUGAUAAUAACAACAUAUUAUUAGAGAUACCAUACACAUACAUGUGCAUAUGUGUAUAUCAUACCACGUCAUGACUAAAACAAAUUAUGACAUGAAAAAAUGUGCUUGCUAAACCAUGGUUGAACAACAUAUAUUAUUUUAUAGAAGGGAAAUGUGUUCAACUCACUAAACAACAAGGGAAGAAAAAGGUUACACAAACACAACUCAAUUUCACUUCCGUUUGUUUUUCUCCUCUUGAGAAUCAAGAAGGUCCUCCAACACAUGGUCAUCCAAAUACUCAAUCUCAAAGACUUGCCUUCCUUGUCCAGUAGAUGAACUUCCACCAGGAGCAGCAGCAGCAGCAGCAGCAGAAGAAGAAGAAGAAGAAGAAGAUGAAGAAGAAGAAGAAGAAGAAAAUGAUGAUGAGAAUCUAGGAGGAUGAGGAGGAGAGCCCAUAACUUGAGAAUAAUACUCAUUUGGAAAGUUGAGUAUGGCAAGAUGACCCCUUAAAUUAAAAGCAGCUCUGUCAUAAGCCCUUGCAGCUUCUUCAGCCGUAUCAAAUGUGCCAAGCCACAGACGAGCACCUUGCCUUGAAGGGUCUCUUAUCUCAGAAGCAAACUUCCCCCAUGGCCUCCUUCGGACUCCCCGAUAACGCACUUCUUCGCUUCCCUUCUCUUCCAUUCCUUGCUUCUGUAGAUCCUUUCCUCUACGAGGGUCUUCCAUAAUUUCUAGCUUGAUUCUUUGAAUAAUUUCUGGUGGUCGUUAAUUUUGACAAGCCUUUCUGUUUUUGGUUUAAAAUAUGGUGGCAUAUAAUGUAUCUCAUUGAUAUAUUUAUAGGUGUUUGAUUUUGGGACAAAUGGGGUCAUAUCACAUAUGACUUAGAUGUACUGUGAUUGUGAGAGUCCACAUGAACGUGGAUUGACCAAGCGUAAAUGGAUGUUUCUUGGAAGGUUCUUCAUCUUCAUGUAUAUUAAUUAUUAUCAUCUAGGGCUAUAAUAGAGGUGCAAAAAUUCGAUUCUUCGACUCUUUCUAUGAUCAAAUUCAAAAAGGGUUUGUAAAUCUCUUUUCUUGAUAGGCAUUUUCUUUCAAAUGGGCUUCGAAUUCUAUCUUUUUAUGUUCAUAUUAUGUGAGAAUAAUAGAUUGUGUUGGUUGGUAAUAGUUUUUUUCUUUCUUUCACUGAACCAUUGAACUGUAUUGUCACUUUACACAGAAUAUGUAGAGAUUGAUUCCCAUAUCACAAAGAUUGGAGGAAUUAGACCCACAGAAUAUGAAUGCGUAAGUGAUUCCAUCCUAAUAACUAAGAAUAUUACAAGCAUGCACUAGCCAUACAAUUUUGGUUGAAGGCAAAAAUAGGAAACUCAGGAAAAGCAAGAUAAGGUCUCAAGGGGUAUAAUUUUCCUAUUUGGUGGAAAAGUGGACUGCUAUAUAUUGUCCCCUUGCACUACUCCCUCGUAAUAUGCUUUGAUCAUUGUAGGGAUUUCAGAUAUGAGAUUUUUCAAAUCAUAUCAAAUUAUUCAAAUUUUAUUUUAUUUGAUAUGAAGCAUAUAGAAUAUGAAAAUAUUUUUGCUCACUACUUUAACCUAAUGUGUACUCUCACCAUCAUUCUCAACACUUGACACAUGUUCAUAGGCAUAACUAUAGUUAACUCUUUGUUUUGUAUUUGUGGAACCAUAGUUAUGCCCAUGUACACAUGUCAAGUGUUGAGAAAAGUGGUGAUGGUACACAUUGGGUUAAAAUAGUGAGCAAGAAUGCUUCGUAUAGAAUAGCAUUCAAACAUUAACGACUCAUUUUGGCUCACUCCACACUAUAAUUCUUUGAUCAAAGUCAUUCAUUCUGCAUUCCAUGAUCAUGGUUGCAAAUAUACACUCAAAUUGAAAAAAAUAUAUAAAUUUCGACACAACGAUAUUUUAAAUUACUCUAAUGUAUAUGGAGGGGAACAAACUUAGAUACAAGUGGGUGAGUACACUGCCUUGGCCAAUGGCCAUAACCCACACCUGCUCAAGUUGAAAAUCUUUGAGUAUUUGUGAAUAUUUUCAUUAUGUCUCAUAAUGUGUUCAUCUAUUUAUUUUAUCACAAUUAAAAUAACUAAAUGAUUUUUCAUUUUGAAUAUUUUUUUAUUUAUAGAAAUGAUCUUUCAAUGAGUACCUAAAAUUGAAUGAUUCAAAUCAUAUAAUAUAUUAUGGAGCGGACCUGGUGAUUAAUUAACGUAAUGUUGUCAAUCAAUAUGGUCAUAAAAUGUGAUCCCUUUACCUUUAUUUGUAAAAAGUGCUACUAUUUCCACUCUAUGUCCUAUUUUCGCACCCACAUAACCUUUCCAACUACCAUGUAAAUUUGAAAAAACACAAUCCUAUCUUUUCACACAUCAUUAUUCCUAAAAUACCCUUAAUUAUUAAUUCAAGCAAAUUCUCUUUGCUAAUCAUUAGUAGUUGAGAUAUUGAGAGGAUGAAGUUGUGUUUGAUGGACUGGAUAAAUGCUUUAGCAACUGAGGAGUCGUACACUUUCUUCUUCUUUAUUUUUUCUUUUUGUCAAACGAUGGAAUAGGUGGGUUACAUGAGUUGAGGUUUCUUUUCCCCAAGUCCUUAGAAAUCAUUUUACAAAGGGAAAAAUUUGUCUUUAAAAUUUUAAAAAUAAAAUAGGCAAAAAAAUAGAACAUGGGGUGGAAAUAACAAUACUCUUUAUAAAACAAAACAUAAAAAGAGAAUAUAUAAGAAUAACCAAAUGAUCUUGAGUACAUCAUAUAUUCUUCUGUCCAAACAAUCGAAAAAUUCCUAAAGUAUUAAAAAGUGGCAUAGGAUUAAAGUAAAAUUCAGACCCUCCCUCUUCCAGAAAUAAAACCAAGACACUCUCGUCGUUUAAAAAAACAUGUUCUCAAAUACCACUAUAGUAAUACUGAUAUUCAAGAGCAUUUCUCUUGCAAGAUGGCAAAUCAAAUAACCUUUUUUUCUUCUUUUCCAAAUGGGAUAAAAUAUAAGUUUUGGUAAACCUUGAAGACAAAUUAUAUGUCAUUAACUACCAAACCAAUAACUCGUCCGUAAAAAAGAAAGUGAAAACCUAAGGGCCGUUUGAUAAUCAUUUCAAUUUUAGUUUUUCAUUUUAAUUUUUCAUUUUUUGUGCUAGAGCAUAGAGGAAAAAGAGGGAGAGGGGAAGUGAGAAUGAGAAUGAAGAUGAGAUUGAGAGGGAAUAUGAGAGAGGAGGAUGGGAGGAAUGAGUAACAAAAGUGAAAACAAAAACUAAAAACUGAAAUCUAUUUGAAAUUGUUUUCACAUUCAAGUUUUCGUUUUCACUUUUGUUACUACUCCCUCCCAUCCUCCCCUCUUAUCCUCUCUCUCAAUCUCAUCCUUACUCUCAUUCUCACUCUCAUUUUCCUCUAUACUCUAGCACAAAAAUAAAAUAAAAAAAAAUAAAAACUAAAAAUAAAAUGGUUAUCAAAUGAGGCCUAAGUUACCUAACCUAAUAUUAUUAUUUUUUCCUUCCAAAACCUAACCUAAUAAAUUUCUUGGAGGUAAAAAAAUUAGGCGCUAUAUCUAUCAAUUGGAAAACAAGAAGAGUGCGGACUCAUGCCCCAAGCAUUUUGUGAUCACUGAUUACGUCGUUAAAAACAGUGUGACAUACAUAACCAAUGGGCUGUGCCCGCUCGGAAAGUGAAUCCCAAAAAGAUUUUGUUAUUUGUCUUUAAAUAUUUGUUUUGGUUACAAAGAAGGCUUGCUUUUUUAUUUAUUUAUUAUUUAUUUUAUCUUGCUCUCGAAAUAUGGGCAAAAGAAGAAGAAUUGAGGGUUUCUUUUGUUUCAUGAUUAGAGAAACGUCAAUCUAUACUAAUGGGAAUUGUCAAAGCUUGCAUACGUUAGGCCAUACGCACAAGGAAACAUGAUGAGCUCCAGCAGAUUAGUUUUUUUCAUAGGUUCAUCCAGGACAGAAUCUUUAUAGGAUCAGAAGCUAUAGAAAAUGGUCCAAUUCGUGUAAACGAAAGCUUUGACAUUGCCAAGAUAUUCAAAAGGAGCUCCUCACUAACUCCAAUUUAGUAUUAAUUUAAAAAACAAAAAGGUAAGCAAGGAACUAAGAAACAAAACCAAAAAAUAAUAAUAAUUAAAGCAAAGAAAACUGAGAGAAUUUGGUUUGAAUGUCCUAGAACAUGGAGACCAGAUCAUCCCUAGCUACUUUAAACUGUUAAUGAAGCUUUGUAUUGAGGCAGAUUUAGUCUUGGAUCAAUUUAAAAAGAUGAAGGAAUUGCAUUCUUAUUUGCCAACACCUUUCCGAUUUUAUUAAUUACAACUCCUUAAUCAUGGUUGUUUGACCCUCUAAAUUCUAAUCCUUUGAAUAUUGUAGCAUGCACUUUUUUCAAAUGUUAGAUAUAUGUGGUUGUUGUUUGAAAAUGAAAACAUGAUCAAGCGAAAACUUAGCACAAAGAGCCAAAAUUUGUAAGCAUCUUGAAUGGAAAAUAAUAUUGAAAAGAUGCAUAGCUUUAUGGGCAUCUAUGCCUUUUUAACAAAGAGUGGAGAAACCGUGUGAACCUAAUUCUCAUCGAGGAAAAGCAGUUUCAGAAUCUAAAUCUCUCAAAUGAAAAUUGGGGAUAGCGGGGAUAGCGGUGUUUUGUCGAGGUAUCAUAGAAUGUCAAAAACUUUUGACAAUGUCAAGAUAUAAACCUUGUGAACGUAAGAGAUUUAUAAACCUUUUAACAAUGCCAAGGUAUCAUAGAAUGCAAAAAAACUUACUUGUAACGGGGAUAGCGGUGUUUUGCUAUCCCCAGCUAAUUAUACAAUGACAUGUAGAAAAAUUAUCCUACGUGUCAUUGCAUUAUUGAUCGGGAAUAGCAAAAUAAGAGUUUUUUCCCAUAAAAUGAAGCUACGAGUUGAGCAUGAAUUGGGUGCUCUAAAAUACAUUUUAUGCUCGCAUUGGCCCAUCAAUAAUGCAUGAGUUGCUGGGUUUAUCAUUUGAAAGUUAUACAAUUUGUUACACAAGUGGAACUCUAGAUAACACAAUUUGAAGCCCAUUCCAAAUUGCAACAGUGUUUUUAGUUGUAUCCAAAUUUGUUCUUUAAAAAAAGCUCCUCAUUUUGGGAGAAAAAUCCCCUCCUAAGGCCUUAACUUGGUUUGCAAAUGCUAAGGAGAGAUUUCAGGCCCAUUUUAGUUGACCCAGGUAGAUAUCUUCAGAUUUAAAGAAUCAUAAUGAGAUGGAACAAAAUAUAAAUAUAUGUUCGAAUCUUCCCGUUCUUAAUAUCGUUUGUAUAAAUAAAACAACAUAAUAUAUAAAUAAUAUCCUUUAAUGAAUCGAAAUAUUGUAGCCAAAAACCUAUAGUGGUGUUACUACACCUGGAGGCGGCUAUAAGAUCCUUAAUUCACAGUCUAAUUGAUAAUUAUGAACUAAUUUAGGUUGAUUUUUUUAGUAAUCAACUAUACAACAAAUUUUCAUAUAUUUUGUUACUGAUGAAUCAAAUCGUGCUCGAGUAUAGCCAGUGAGCAUUUGUCUCUUACAAGGAUGAUAAAGACGUACUAAUUUGGAUGAGAUCCACAUAGAAAGAAGAAAAAGCUCUGCCGGUCAAAUUCAAUCACCAAAAUGCAGAUGCAUUGAGCCUAGCCAUAAAAAUCCAAUGCUACCAACCAAAAAUAUAUAUUUUUUGGAGGCUGAUUAAUGAAAUGAAGCCCCUUUUGCAGUCCUAGGGUUGCAUGUUUAUAAUGUGAACUGGGGUUGAGGUCGUAAAAUGAUGAGUGAGAGUUUGCUGUGGGAGUGAAAAACUCAUGGGGACCCAGAUGACCUAACAACUCAUUACCUGAGCACCUAGAUUUGACUACAUUAAGGUUUAUAUUUUACCUGGGAAAUAUUCUGCAAUCAAUUACUUUGUCAUCUUUUCACAACAUCUGUACUAAUAUUAUAAUCCUUAGUUUCAUAAUGUAUGUACAGAUUCAUGUACCAUUUACAUCUUUUUAAACAGAAAUGGUUCAUCCCUUUAUCCAGCUUUCAUGUUUGAUGAUGAUAUCAAACUUAUCUUUUGGUUCGUUUCUUCUUAAUUUCAAAGAGUUUGGCAUAUCAGAUUUUGGAUCAGAAUUGUUAAUUAGAUAACAUUAUAUAUGCGCACGCGCUUGUAAUUAUAAUGCAUCAUAUUAUGACAACAUAACAUGCUAGAUAUAUAUAUAUAUAUAUCUAGCAGUCCCGAUCUCUUGGACCACAGGAAUCCAAGAGAUUUGUGGUCACUCACCGUUGGAUGUAAAUUUAACGGUUCACUCAAUCUUGAACUCCUUUUAAGAAACUUUUUUGAAUCAUUAGAUUAAUAUCCAACGGUGAGUGACCACAAUCUCUUGGACUCCUGUGGUCCAAGAGAUCAGGACUGAUAUAUCUAGUAAGUGAUCGUUCCUAUUUUUAAUUGUGACUAUUUCCACAUUAUUACUUAAGAAAAUCCUGAUUUAAGGAUGAUUUUAAUAUCCUUUUAUUCCUUUACACAACCUAUACGGCUAUACCUAUGGAUAGGAUGUCCUACAAUAUAAUAAUGUUAAAUUUUUUGCGAAAGUAUAAUAUAUUAAUGUUGGGAAUCAUAAGGAUGAAGGGAACAGAUGUAACACAUAAUAAUAAAAAUUACAAAAGAUGUUGGGACAUUGGUUUGAUAUGAUUAUUGGGGGAUCGUAUCAACUUUUUAACUUUUUUAGCAGUGAGAAAGAAAAAAAGUGAUGAUUUGUAACUCAAGCAAUUAAAAAUGAUUAUUUUUACUCACGAGAUUUUGUGUUUGAAUUCUCUCUUUCUCAAUAUCACUUAUAAUAGUAAUCAAAGUUUCUUUAAAUUUUUAUUAACUAAUAGUGAUUUAUAACAAGGAUUACUAAUCCUUAAAUUUUUUAGGAAUCAUUCAUCAAUAUUUGUGAAUGACUAAUUUUUCUCAAUCUUUUUUUACCUUGGUUCAUUUUUUCAAUUUUCCAAAAUUACUCUCAUAGAAAAAUAAACACUAAAAGUUUUUAAAGACAAAAAGUUUAGUCCUUGUGUUUUUUGUUUUAGAUGUAGGUCCUUUGACAUUUAUUUUUUUUUUGUUGUGUCAAUUUUACCCUUUGAGGUAAAUAAGGAAAACACACUGAAAAUCUAAAAUUAAUGCAUUAUUUCCUUGUAAUUGAAUUCCAUAAUUUAAUUUUUGAAUUAUUUCCUUGAUAAUAUUCCUAAUAUAUCGAUAAAAUACAAUUUUACCAAUAAAAAGUAAAGACCCACAUAUUAUACCAAACAAACACCCACAUUAAAUUAUAUACCUAACUUACAGGUAAAUAGUGUUAGGAACAUAAAUUAAAAGACUACCUUUAAGUCAGAUACAAAAAUAGACAAAAUAAAAUUGUAUGUUACCUAUUUAAAAAAAGUACAUAAAAUACUAUUACACAUUGUUAAAAAUAUGAAAAAACAUAUAUAUAUACACACACACACACACACACAUAUAUAUAUACCUAUGCAAUAUGACAUAAAUGACUAUUACCUGAUUCAAGUCAUAAAGGGCAACAUUGGAACAAAAAAUAAUUUUAAAAAUAAAAUAAUAAAAAGAUUACAUCAUAAAAUAUUAAAAAGAGAAUGUAAUUCUAUGUGGCACAAAAGUCAAAAGACUUAGAUCAAAGUCACCAAAUUCGAGGAUUAAAUCCAACUCCUUAAUAUGAAUUUGAAUCUAUAUCAACUUUUCUAUAGUUUUAAUUUAUGAUGUGGGUUAUUUGGUAAUAAAAUGUGCCAUAAAUGCAUUCCUAAGUCAUUGAAAAGCAUACCAAUAUGUGGAUUUGAUCGGUGCCAGUCCUUGAACUUUAGAUAUGCUUACUUUUAGUCGUAUCACAAAGCCAAUAAAUUUAGGGAACCGGCGGAGCUCCAGGUUUCACUUUCACUCCUUCAUAAGAAAGACAACAUGUAUGAGAUUUCACAUUCCAAAAAAGGUGCUCACCAAACAUAAGAGACUAUUCCUGCCUCAAGAUAAUGGUUAGUGUCAAUAUCCUUAAAUACAUGUUCAUUUUUAAUGCAGAAGCUCGUGGUCCAAUUUUUAAUAUAUAUAUAUAUAUAUAUUGCCACUCGGCAUUACUACGUGGCAUCGAAGGAAUUUUUCUUAUAGAUCCUAAGACCUAUUUUCAUUUGGCACUGAUAAUAACAGUAUAACUAAAAAGAUUGUACUAAAAGGAAAUCAUUGCCAUGUACAUGGUAAUCAAACGAAAAUGAAAAGAAUUACUUGUUAUUGUAGUAACUAAGGGGCGCAGUCUUGGCCUUGAAGAUUUUUGGAAAUAUUAAGAUGGUCCUAAGUGCACGGGAGGGUGGGGCAUAUGAAAGUGGCAAGUUAAAUGUGAAAAAUAUAUGAAUGGACCAUAUACCAUGAAUCUGUAGGCAUCAUUGCUGGCCUAACUGGUUAGUCAAAUUAAUAGUGAUGAAUUUGGCUUUUUGGAAUCUUCCUCAAAUUUGUUUUAAUUUCUGUAGAAGAAAAAAAAAAGGUUUAAUUUUAAAUUUAUAUAAACCCUUGGAUGGUGGUGGUGAUAGGGAGUGGUGAGCAAGACUAUCUCAUCAGACCAUUUGAGCACAUGUGAUAUAUAGAUGCAGGUAAUUAGUUUUUUUAUUUUUUUUAAUUUAUAAAUUCCAAAAUUUCCUCUUAAAUAUCUAUUUUUCUAGAAAAGAAGAAAGAAAGUAGUUGUUUGACAAAAGAAAAAAAGAGGAAAGAAAGUAGUUCAAGUUGGAACAGAAAUUACCCUGCAGUUUCCUUAUGUUUUUUUUUUUCCGUUUAUUCUCUUACUUUUCAAUAUCCAUUUCCUUUAAUUAUUUUUGUGGAUAUGUUUAUGAUAAAUAAAUAAAUAAGCAAUCGAAGUUGGAUUAGUCUUACCUGAUCGACUGGUGACAUGAGCACUAAUUGCAAUCUGCACCCUUGUCCCCCUUUCACGAGAUCGGUUGAAAUGGCAGCAAAAGUCCUUCAAGACCAAAUUUGCAUCAAACAAUUUGGACCAUAAGUUUCCCACCACAUCCCCAUAUAUAUGGUAAAAAAUAAAAAUAAAAAUAAAAAACCAAAUUUGGUAUUUUGGUUUGAAGGUUACAAUAGUGGUAUAAAAUCGUGGGAGCAUUUUGCUCAUUACUUUAAUUCAAAGUUUAUGCUCAUUACGUUUUUCAAUACUUGACACGUGUUUAUAAGCAUAACUUUAGUUAUAAAAAUCAAAGUAAAAAGUUAACUAUGAUUAUACAUAUGGAUACGUGUCAAGUAUUAAAAAGGGUGGUGCAUAUACCUUAAGUUAAAAUAGUGAACAAAAAUAUUUCCCUAAAAUUGUGGGUUGGUGGAAAAUGGAAAAUAUUUACCUUGUUUCAUUUCAUGACGGAGACCUAAAAAAGGAAUGAUCCCAAAAGGGAAUUUUCCUAGAAGCUCCAUCCAUGUACAUGAAAACAUUUCAAAGAUGCUUAACUGGGGCUACCUCAAAUAUUAUCUUUUACUGCAGCUGACUUGUCUCUUUCCUUUUCUUGUAUCCAUUCUUUCCGGAGGACUUUCAAAGUUGAACCAAAAAAAAAGUAUCCUAGUUUUGAUGACUUUGAAACAUGACAACAGGGAUGAGGUUUCAAGGGGGCGUGCAUCUAGACCUUUCAAACAUCAAUUUCCUAAUGCCGACUGAUGAGAUAAAAGUUUUGUGCAUUUGGGAUAAUAAUUUUUUAUUUAUUUUUGUAUAUAUAUAUAUAUCACAAUCACCAAACAAGUCCCAAGGAGAAAAUUUAACCCAACUUGUUGCUUCAUACAAAAAAGGUCAUUCUCAUUCGGGUGCUGAUGAGCUUGGGCAGAGUGAGCACGUCCAGAUAGCAGCAAAAUAGGAUUUUGGCUAAUCAUUUCACAUGAAUCCUGAUGUUUUAUACAAAUAGGAGAGACGUGAAGAAAACCUACCUAGGCUACCUAAGCUAGCUACCUAAACCACAGUCAAACAAUUAGUCCCCUAUUUCUUACUUUCUUUCUGUGUGUUCAUAAAAUGUAUGUGUUCAAUCUUGUCCCAUCCUUUGGUUUUUUCCGAAAACUUUGUUAAAUAAAAUAAAAAAAAAUAUAAAAAAAAUCUGACUAAGUGCUUUCAAAAAGUUGCCAAAGAAAAUUGACCACCGCUUUUUUUGUUUUUCUUUUUUUUUUUGUUUUAAAAGUUAUGAUUCAGAAUUUUAGUGGUUGUGUCAAAUCAGCUUAAAAUUUAGCUUACGUGUGUGAGCCUCUCGUAUAUAUUUAAGAGUAUCAAACACAACAAAUCAAGGCGAAUAAAGUCUGAACACAAUUAUACAUAUGCAAUGCAAAAUAAAGAUAAAAUGAAACAUAUAUCUUAAAAUGUAAUCUAGUUUAGAAAUGAAAUAUGCAAUGCAAAAUGAAGAUAAAAUAAAACAUACGUCUUAAAAUGUAAUCUAGUCUGAAAAUGAAGAGUAGAAUCUCACUUAAUUAACAUCUAUAGCUCACCAUUGAGCAAUGAGUACUAAGGCUACAACUAUUUUUCCACAUCCAUGAGUCCAUGACCUUGUGAGUCUAGUUUCUAGGGGUCAUUUUCUUUGACAUGGAAAAUCGAAGUCCACUUACACCAAAUGGGUCAAGUUUUAAGUUAGUGAUGGAUUGGUAUGAGUGGAAACCGUAGCCAAGUGAACCACGGGUGAUUUGCUCUUGUUAUUGCAAUUUAGUGAUCUAAUCUUCUUCUUCCCUAAUAAGUGAAAUUGAUGAUAAAGUGACAAGUAAUAAUAUAAAACGUAUUGCUCAAGUUUUAUUUGUAAAUCCAAAGCCAUAAGACCCUUGACUUCUUUUUUCCACCCUCAUUUCCUCGAACAUUCACAAAACCAUGACCUCUUUCUUCCCAAAUAAAUUUUUUGGGCUCCAAGCCAUCCAAGCAAUGUCAAAUAUUUUUUUUAUUUCUUUAAAAUCCUAGUUGACAGCUUUGAAAGCGAAAAUACGUGGGAAAUCCAACGGUGGUCCUUGAAGUGGUAAAAAAUUGAACUCACUAUCUCCAACGGCCAUUCAACUACCACGCAGUCUGUGAAUUGUGCCAUUCAGAGGAAUCCACAUGCUGACACGCGGGCAAGCUCCUAUGCGACAAAUGGACACUGAUAUCAUAAGCUGCUGAGGUCACCACAAGUUUCUCUCUGACCUGGCCGCCAUGCUUCAAUUGACCCAUGUGUUAAAAUUCAUCCCAACUUGCGUAGGAUCCCACAAUAAAUACAAUAAUACACCAAAACAAAUAAAAUAUAGCCAACCACAUCUUAUAUUUUAAUAUGAUUCACCUGGCUACUUUUACCUUUUCACCCUCAUAAUUUUUACCCACUCUCUUUCGUUGGGUCAUUUUUAACUUGGGGGCCCAAUUGGCCCCUACUGGUCCACAUUGGUCCUGUGGGACCCAUUGGAAUUGGGUAUAAAAAUGGGAGGAGGCCCCGAGUCUUAGCUUAACCACAACGUGUAGCCACACUUGCACAAACACAAUAUUCCAAGAAGAAAACAGAGACACCACCUCAAUUCUUCAAAUGAAUUACUCAAUCUUCCACUCCCCAAUUUCCGAUUUGUCACCUGAAUCUUCAUUCGGAUCAUCAUUUUCUUGGGAUGAUCACAAAUUUGGCAACAACUCACUUCCCUUCAACGAAAACGACUCCGAAGAAAUGCUUCUCUAUGGCCUAAUUUCCAACGCCACCCAGGAAAUAACAUCAAGAGAAACAGAGACACUCUCUGUUUCUGCAAACCCAAUCAAGGAAGAGGAAGUGAGCUCCACGUCCGACUCGGAGAACCCGAAAAGGGAAAAGUCGUACAGAGGGGUGAGGAGGCGGCCAUGGGGCAAGUUUGCUGCUGAAAUUAGAGACUCCACCAGGCACGGCAUAAGGGUGUGGCUAGGCACAUUUGACAGUGCCGAAGCUGCAGCCUUGGCCUAUGAUCAGGCCGCCUUUUCGAUGCGUGGCUCCGCGGCGAUUCUCAACUUUCCGGUGGAGAGAGUCCGAGAAUCGCUUAAAGAAAUCAACUAUGUCGCUUCGGAUUUGAACGGGGGCUCGCCGGUUGUGGCGCUCAAAAGAAAGCACUCCAUGAGAAGGAAAAUCGGGAACAAGAAGAGCAAAGUGGAGAGAGACGUGAGGAUAGAAAAUGUGGUGGUGUUUGAAGAUUUAGGCGCAGAUUACUUGGAAGAAUUGUUAAAUUCAUCUGAGAGCACAUGUGCCACUGCCACACCUAAUCGUUGAUUCAAAAACAUUAAUUCAACUUUCUUGUGUUCUUCUUUUUUUUUUUUUGGUGGUAAUUAUAUGAACCAUCAUCACUUUGAAAUCUUUGAUCUGUCUCUUCUCCAAUAUUUUCUUUUUUCUGUGAAGUUGCAAAAAAAGGAUAAGGAGUUACGUAUUUAUGUAUCCUGGUGUCUCAUUUGUGGCGCUCAAUUAAUUGAUCCUUAAGGUGAUUAGAUUUAAUAUUCUACUAGUCAACUAAUAUAGCUGGUCACUCUUAUCAUACACAAAAUGACAUUGCCACAUGCACGCGUGCUGUACGAACUCCAAGUUAAAUCACACUUAAUAGUAGUACUUCAAUCCUCACAUCUUUUUGCGUUUGGCUGGUUUUCCAUGAUCGGGAGAUUCUUAUAGUUGUCGUCAUGCAUUGCGUUAGACUCUUAUACAUAACGUAUAAUAUUUAAAUUAUGUGUGCAUUCUGUGUGCGCGUAUAAUGCAUUAGUUAGACUUUUACGUAUCGUGCGUGAAACUUGAAUACAUACCACUCACAUAAACAAGAAGUUUUCUUUCUUCGACGAGGCUACAAAAUUAAUAUUUUCCUUAAUAGAAUAUCAUAUACAUUGGUUGAUGAGCAAGGAGUGUGAAUAUUGUUAUUAUUAUCCUCCAAUGCCAAAGGGGCCAGGCUAUCAAAAUAUCAAGGAUGUAUACAUAUGAUAUGGCCCACGAGCCAUGACCAAAGAGCUGCAACUUGCUUGGUUAGUCCUCAGUUUCAAUCGAAUUAUUUUUGGUUUUUAAUGGCAGUUUUGUCUUUAAGCACUAAGCACUAGUAAGUGUGGACACCUGUAUAAACCUAAUCAAGCAAUUAGCUCGAGCAUUAUGCAAAUCAUAUCAACUAAUUAAAGCUUAAUUAUAUCUCCAAGUAAGUAGUUGUGUGGAGAAGGAGAAGAAGAAGACAAAACUGCCAUUAAAAACCCAAACUUGAACCACUUUGAACACUGUUUUGGUCCAAUUUCAAAGCAAAGAAGCUUCUGCGAGCAAUUCAGUCUUAGUAAUUUGGGUGGACAAUAUCUGCUACUUGCGACUUAUCUAAUUCAUUCAUCCUCGCAUAUAAUAAUACACAGAUUUAAUUCAUUUGAAUAUAUAUUAUCUUCACGUGGGAUCUAAUUUGGUUCUAUAAAACUAUCAUAAAUUGUGACCCUCCUUCCUCCGCUUCUUUUUAAAAUAUUUUUCUGUGGACCACAUGAUUUGUUUUCAAUAUCACGUAUAAACUUUAUUUUUAUCAUUAUAUCAAUAUUUAAAAAAGGUUACAAAUUCGAAUUCUCUUUUCUUUUCAAUAGAAACGAAUACCGCUAUCAUAUUGUUAGCCACAUACUAUGGUAAUUGGUGCGAUAAAAUAUGUAUCACUAUAAUUACAUGAUCAUGCAACGGCUUAAGCGGUUUAGUAUUCUGUCUAUGUCCACAGAGAGUACUUAAUAUUUAAACACAACUAACUAAUGAUAAUCCAUGGGCUGGCAGUACAUGAAUAUUAAUCUUUAAUUAAUUUUUAUUUGACAUUAUCCAUUCACAAAAGACGCUAGUAGCAAUAUUGUAAUUCGCAUGAAUGUUGAUAACCAUAAAUUUUGUCACGUGAUUCUCAAUUGCAACCGGUAAAAUUGAGGGUCAAAGUCCUGGCAGUCAAAAUCCAACCAAGUCAUUCAAGCCGCUUCCACGUCCUCUAGGAAACCUAAUUAAGCAUAAUAUUCAAUGGAAAAUCAUGAUUAGAAUUUGAUUAAGUGAGUUGUUUUAGUACGUAUGAUAUGGUUAGCUCAACUUGGCCACCUUUCAAGAACAGAGGUAAUGGGAAUAUUAGAAAUUCGAUCAGAUUCUCAUUUAACUAGACUUUUUUCAAGAAGGACUUGAAUUAUUUUUUUGGGUUAUCAUGAUCAUUGAAAUUUUACUAGUUCCUGCAAGUGUUGCACUGAUCAUGGAAAAGAUAUUGGGAUGACAUCGAAGGGUUUCCACCCUUAGGUCUAAUCUAACGGAGUUAGGAUUUGUGAAAUUAUGCUUUCUUGACUACAAGAGAAAAGAUAGAUAGAUUCAUCCAACACACUGCAUUUCAGACAUCCAUCUAAUCUGAUGACAAAAAGAUAGAUUCUUAAUUAAAGACGUCAAUGAGAAUAACUCAUGAUUAAAAGGUCGGGUACCACUAACAUACAUAAAUAUAAUGUGGACGGGGCUGGUACCAAAAUGACCGGGGCAUCGUCCUCUUCCUACCCCAGCCACCUCCCGCCGCCAGCCGCCGCGGAUUCGCCGGAAUUUGGAGAUGAAGCGGCCGAUGUCGUCCAAACUUCAAAGCCGCCGAUCUCCCUCCUCCGGCCACCAAUUCCGUCGACCCAGGUAUGGAUUUUGAACCUCUCGAGCUGCUCUAGCUGAUGGUUGGGUAGGAUUAGAUCGAUUCUUAGCGUAGCCAACUCGAUUUUCGAAUUGAAAAUCGGCCGAAACUUCGGCCGCUGUGAUCGGCCAUUUCCGGUCAGUUUUUGGGGUAGGUCCAAGAACAAAAGUGGCUCCAAAUAGGGUGUUCUACCUAGGGUAGGAGUUUGGAGCCGUGAUUUUGAGAUUUUCUGGUGAAGCGUUAUCGCUUUGGGCACCACGCGCUGCCGACGCGUGCGGCGGCGCGUGGGCAAGGUGGAAAAAGUAGCACUGUGUUCCGAUGAGAUCCUUAGGUUGUCACGAGUGUGUAGGAUUUCGCGGAUCUCAAUUCGGACGUCGUUUGACUAUCGAACGGAUAAUCGCAUAUUGUGCGUUAUCCGGGUUCGACAGGUUGGGACCGUUGGAUGGUCCUAAAUUUAAUAUAUGUUAAUCUAGGUAAUUCUAGGAUCGUGUAGGAAUUCACGGAUUGUGAAUCGGAGCCCCGGAUGUUCCGAAUAGUAAUUUUAAAGUUUAUAUUUUAUAUUAAUUGUCAGAUCGUGCGAUCGUGAACAAUCCGACCGUCCGAUCUGAACCAAACUCGCAGGACAAGUGUCCUAUACCUGGUAGAACCCAUAGGGACUUCCGGAUCGGAAAUUGGAGGUCGUGGGUUCCGCAGGCCCGUUUGACCAGGGUUAGAGUAGUUUGACCCUUGGUUGACCGUGAGCCACCCGGAGUAAUCUCACCUCUCCAGGGGAGAUUAUUGGGUGCUAGACUAUUGUGGAGGGUUACACAAUAUUAGAAUUAAUUUAUAUAAUUAUAAACAUAUAUUGUUGCACAAGGGUACAACAGAGUCUAGAAUGUCAGUUUGGAGUGCUAUACGCACUACUUUAGGUACCUCAUCGGAUUUUGGAUUCGCUACAAACACCAUCAAGUGAAGGUUAGGUCCCGCGUGGCGUAGGUUAUCCGGCGUUGGGACAGACCCCAUACGUGGCGUUGGUUGUACCGGCGUAUGGGGAGAUUUGCAAUAUGAUGUUCAGGUCUCACGUGGCGUAGGUUAUCCGACGUUGAGACAUGCCCCGUACGUGGCGUUGGUUGUACCGGCGUACGGGGAGAUUAUGUGAUAUGAUGUUGAGGUCCCGCGUGGCGUAGGUUAUCCGGCGUUGGGACAGGCCCCAUACGUGGCGUUGGUUGUACCGGCGUAUGGGGAGUUAUGUGAUAUGAUGUGCAGGUCUCACGUGGCGUAGGUUAUCCGGCGUUGAGACAGACCCCAUACGUGGCGUUGGUUGUACCGGCGUAUGAGGAGAUAUAAUGAUAGUAUGGCAUGGUCGCACGUGGCGUAGGUUAUCCGGCGUGUUGACAGGCCCCAUACGUGGCGUUGGUUGUACCGGCGUAUGAGGAGAAUAUGUGAAAUACAGAGAAAGGAAAUAAGGUAUCACCGAUGUGUGGAAUUAGAUUUUAGGGAAGAACUACGUGUGGCUUGAUCCCUCAAGGAGGGUACGUAGGCAGCCUAAGGUUAUUAGGUGCAGCCGCAGACUAAAUGUUAGUCAUAAUUUGUAUUUGAAUGGUUUGGUAGUUGGUUAAGAAUUAUUGGAAGGCCGAAGGCCAUUUGUGUGAAUUGCAUGAAAUUAUAUUGUGCAUGCUGCCAGUUGGGAAUAUUAAAUGCGUUUUUAUGCAGGUUGGAAUUUUGAAAAAUGUCCAAUUUAUAGGGGAGACUCUGCCGAAAUUUCGGCAGGACGUCUCGGUUUUUAGUAAGUGGGCCUGGCAUCGGGGUGAUGUCAGGAAUUGCAAAGGGUUCGUCUCGGGUUUUGAGAAAAUUCGGGGCGGGUCCUUAAAGCCGGAAUUGGUUUUUGGCUCCAAAAUCGUGCGACCAGUGGACAUUUCAUCGCGUAAAAUUAGAUGUCGGCUGCAUGUUGCUCGACGGGAUGUUCAAUUUGUGCGAUGCGAUUUGGCGUUUGCGCGACGAAAACUGAUGCAACGAAAAAAUAUUCAUCGUCGCCCUAAAGUUGGAUGUCGACGUGUACUUGCGCGACGAAAAGUUAGACUUGCGCGACGAAAGUGGGAGUUUUGCGCAACAAAAUAUGUUCUUUGCGCAACGAAGUAUCUAUUCGUCGCGCAAAAGUUAGUCUUCUUCAAAUCUGAGUUACGCCAUGGUAGAGGCAGAAAGCUGAGAAUUUCUGCCUCUGCUGCUGCUGCUUAUGCUAGGAAUUCACUACAUUUAGUAGGUGAGUAUAUUUUGUCAUUAGUUUGAGUGUAUUCAUGUAAAUUCAUACUAAUGCUAUUAAUUUCGUUCUUUGUAGAGAUAUUUUGUGUGAUUAGCGGUUGGUGGCACUACUACAAAAAAGAAAAAAGACGACGGUAAAUCACCGUCGUUGUUAAAAUAUACAACGUCAUCAACAAAUACAAAACGACGUCUUUGUACUGCAAAAAGAUUUAAAAAGCCAGUCGAGGAUGAGAAUAGACGACCAACUCUCUAAAAAAACCGUCGUUAAAAAGGAAAAAUUUGACACAUAUUAACAGAACAAGGCCGCAAGAUAGACAUACAACGACGAAAAUUAAAACAAGACGCCGUUAAAUAUCAUUUUCACGACAAUAAAAAAUAUGACGUCUUUAAAUACAUUAGAAGACGACGUUAUUGAUACCUACUACGUCGCCUAUAUAAAAACAACCGUCGUAAAAUAAAUUUUUCACUUCGAUUUUUCUAUAAAAGAUGACAUGGAAAUAGUUGUCAGUGUCAUUAUUUACGACGUAUGUAUUUAUAGAGUAGACGUUGAACAACGAAACAACGUCGGUUACAAAUAUAUGAGAGUCGUAUUACAAAAUUUAUACGUCCUAUUUUCAGAAACAAACAACGACGAUAAAUAUUAGACGUUGUUAAGUAAAACAACGUCGAAAACAAAUAAAAACAGACGUGUUUAGUCUGCUAAAGUUCUAAAAAAUAGUCGAGGAUGAGAAUAGACGACCAACUCAAACAAAUCAUCGUCGUUAAAAGGGAAAAAUAUGACACAUAUUAAAAGAACAAGGCCGCAAGAUAGACAUACAACGACGACAACUAAAACACUACGCCGUUAAAUACAAUUUUUACGACAAGAAAAAAUAUGACGUCUUUAAAUACAUGAGAAGACGACGUUAUUGAAAUCUACUACGUCUCUUAUUUACAAACAACCGUCGUGAAAUAAAUUUUUCACUUCGAUUUUUCUAAAAAAGAUGACGUGGAAAUAGUUGUCAGUGUCAUUAUUUACGACGUAUGUAUUUAUAUAGUUGACGUUGAAAUUCGAAACAACGUCGGUGGUAUUUAUAUAGUCGACGUUGUAUUUAUAUGUAUUCAUUACUCACGACGCACUUAUUAAUAUAGACGACGUUGAACUUCUAAACAACGUCGGUUCCAAAUAAAUGAGAGCCGUAUUACAGAACAUAUAGACGGCAUUGAUUAUGAUGAGAGCCGUAUUACAAAUAACGUCGUUUAAUUGAUAUUAGACGGCGGUUAUAAUGAAUUACCGUCGGAAUUCAUUUCGUUCCUCUUCGUUUAUAAAAGAACUUGCGACGUGGAAAAUGUAUGAUGACGUCGUAUUUUUUAACGUUCAGAUUAUAUAUCUCGUUUUUUAGACGUCGGUAUUAUGGGAUUGGAGUCGUGUUAUUUUGAAUUACAUGGCGGUUCUUAAUCCUUCCCCGACGUGAUAUCCUGAAUAAUUGCUUCACAAUAGCGUCGUGGUUCUUCAUUGUUACGUUGCUUUAAGACGUCGGUAAAUAUGCUGAAUAACUGGUUCACAAUAACGUCGUGUUUUAUUUGAACGUAGAAAGUGAAGAAAUCACAUUACAAUAUAUUACAAAAUUAAUGUCAUACACUGCCAAUUACAUAAGCAUCAUUCAAUCCAUAUAUCUUCACACCCAUCUCGAAUAUUUUGACCACCUAACUCACCCACCAGUUUAUCAAAUGUGUCAACAUUUGGCAUCCCUCUAGUAAAUGGCUCACACUCAAUUAUCACAUCACCUAAGACUUCAUCACCAAUAACAUCAUUAUAUUCUCUAUUAGGCAUUGAUAACACUACCGACCAACCACGAUGCAUCGGGUCGUCAACAAAAAAUAUUUGUUUGACUUGAGAAGCCAAAACAAAUUGGUCAUUCCUAUGUCCAAUUUUACUCAAAUCUACAAGGGUAAAUCCAAGUUCGUCGACUACAAGACCAGAACUAUCUAUCCAAUCACACCUAAAGACUGGGAUUGUAAACUUUUGGUAGUCAAGGUCCCAAAUUUCUUAAAUGACACCAUAGAAACCCAUAUUUGAGAGAAUUGAGUUUUUAUCCUUGGCACUAGCAACUUGCAUGGUAUGUGCAAGUAAAUAAACUCCACUAUUUUGAGUUGUCCGGACAUCAUCUUGUGCCUUGAUAUUGAAUUUAAUACCUUUAAUAAGAUAGCUCCUAUAUAAUGGCACUGCCAUGUUUGGACCAGCUGCUAGCCACCUAAAUUUUCUGAUACGCCAUGAUUGUCUUCCUCAAGUUCACUUUGAACCUGCAAUUAAUCAUAUCUUAUUUCAUCUAACAUAGAAAUAGAGAAAUUAAAGAGAAAUAUGUUAUUCAACACAUUUACCUUGAAGCAUAGCCAUUGAUGAAAGUGCUAUUGUGCUUCNNNNNNNNNNNNNNNNNNNNNNNNNNNNNNNNNNNNNNNNNNNNNNNNNNNNNNNNNNNNNNNNNNNNNNNNNNNNNNNNNNNNNNNNNNNNNNNNNNNNUUUUGCAACUAGAAUUCGAUGUCCGUGCAGGAGGUAUAACAACACGUUGUGGGAGACAAUUGAAAAUGUUCGAUUUCAUUUAGUAAGAAGUGGAAUGAUUGAGACAUAUAGCACUUGAAACUAUCAUGGGGAACAAUUAGACAAAGCUUCCUCUUCAAGGGCCACAAGAGUGGACAAUGUUGAACCUAUUUUGGAUUCUAAUGAACAAGUCAUGGAUAUUAUAAAUGAUGCUUUUCCAUUUGCAUUGACCAACAUCAAUCAAGAAGAGGAAGAUGACAUGUCUACACCAAUGGACAGUGCGGAGUUCGAACAGUAUGAAAAACUGUUAAAAAAUGCAAAUCAAGAGUUAUACUCGGCGUGCGAGAGUUUUUUCGUUCUUAUGGCCAUUGUGGAGCUAAUGCAAGGAAAAAUAAAGUAUCAUAUGUCGAACCAAUGUUUCGAUUACUUUUUGGGCCUUUUCAAGAGAAUGCUUCCGACGGACAAUUGUUUGCCGAAAAACCAUAGACACCCGCAGAAGGUCUUGAAUGGCCUUGGAUUGAGUUAUGAAAAAAUGUACGCAUGCAAAAAUAAUUGCAUGUUAUUCUACAAAGAGCAUGAAACAUUGGAUAUAUGCCCUAUAUGCAAUGAGUCGAGGUUCAAAAUGACUUCUCAUAAUAGAAUGACUAAGAUCCCACAAAAAGUUAUGCGUUAUCUGUCCCUAAAACCAAGGUUGCAACGAUUGUAUAUGUCAACGCAUACUGCCACAGAUAUGAGAUGGCAUAAGGAAAAACGGGUAGACAACGAUGUGAUGCGACAUCCUGCAGAUGGGGAGGUAUGGAAAGAGUUUGAUCGAACGUUCCUCGAGUUUGCUGCUGAUUCCCGAAAUGUUAGAUUGGGACUUGCCACUGACGGAUUCAAUCUGUACGGGGUUCUAAACCAACACCACAGCACUUGACCGAUUUUCGUAUUCCCAUAUAAUUUGCUGCCUUGAAAAUAUAUUAAAAAAGAAUACAUGAUGAUGACUGUUUUGAUAACUGAGGAUCCUGGCAGGUCAAUCGAUAUGUACUUAAGGCCGUUGGUUGAUGAGCUGAAGGAUUUAUGGACAAACGGUGUGCGCACGUUCGAUAAAUCGACUGGGAAGAUGUUCACUUUAUGGGCAAUAGUUAUGUGGACUGUGAAUGAUUUUCCCGCAUAUGCAAUGGUUUCUGGAUGGAGCACAAAGGGUUAUAUGGCAUUCUCUGUAUGCAAGGAAGAUGUAUGCCCAGCUGUCCUCUCGUCCCUCCAACUCCUUCGGAUGGUGGUGCAGGUCGCUCUUCCAUUGCUUGUACCUCUCAGCAAAGGGUCUGUUGACGUACGCUAUCGACUUAUCAUCGAGGUCCUCUACAUUGUAGUUCGUCUGCAAUUUAUUAAUUACAUACAUUAAGUAAUAGAAAUAUAGAAAGUUUGAACUUACAAAACAUUUAAAAGGUAGGAUACAUACCGACAACUGUCCGAGCACCUCCGUCCGCAUCUCCUCAGACAUGAACUUCCAAGACUUCCAUUGCAUAGGGCAAUAGGUCCGAACGACGUGCCCAACGUCGUGGGCCAAAGAUCUAUGCAAUUCAGCCGUUGGUGCAACUGAUGCCGCACGUCGUAUCCGAUGCUAAUACGACUGUUGGUCACUAGGGUGACCUUCGCCGUCUUCAACUGCCGACAAGGUCCACGGGUGUUCUUCUUGGCUGUAAAGAAAUAGAAAGUAUACUGUUAAUAGUAAUCAUACAAAAAUGUUGGACAACAACAGAUGGAGUCAAGGCAAUCUUUACCUGGCUGUGAUCUGACGCACAAGUACGUCUAUCGAUGCUGUGUCACUCAUGCUGGGGGGCGGUGACGACGUUUGGCACGAAGAGGUUGCGCCACAGAUGAUGCAGAUGACGCCGAGGGAUCACGAGGCAACUGCUCCAUCUGUGAUGGAGCAGUGAUAGCAGCAGGCUGAGCCGGAGGAGGCGAACUUUGUCCAGUGGUCACCGCCUUACUGCUUCGAAUAAGGUUUGACAUCUUGGCCAAGGAAAAACAUGUAACAUUUAAUAAUGUUUUAGGCAAAGCAUGUAACGUAGUUAAUCUAAUUGGGUUAACAUGUAACGAAAUAAAAAUAAAUAUUGAAACAACUAAUAAAACAAAAACAUAUCAUAAUUAUUAACAAACAUAAUUUUUUUUUUUUCCAAUUUAACAAUCUUAACUAAUUUUAAUUAAAGCAUAUCUUGUCUGGGGGUUAGCAAUUCCGGAGUAUCCGGGAUUCCGAUCGAAAAUCAAUCGAAUCCAAUACGAUCCUAGAAAUACAUGGAACAACAUGCGUGAUUUUUAGUUUGAUCCAACGGUCCGAACACAUCAAACCCGAAAAUUGCAUAAUAGGCGAAAUCUACUCUACACUGAAACGGUAACCAAAUUGAAAUCCUAACACACCUACGCGCUCGUGACAACUAGGGGAUCGCAGUGGGACACAAUGUCCCUCUGCUACAGUACCCACGCCCCGCCACAUGCGUCGGCAACGCAUGGAGUCCAAAGCGAUAAGGAUCGCAGGAAAUUUCACAAAAUUACAGACCAAGCUUCCUACCCUAGGUUCAAAACAACAAUUGGAGCCACUCUGGUUCUUGGGCCUACCCCGAAAAAUGGCCGGAAGUGGCCGGAAAUUCAAAUAAAAAAUUGGCUGAUUUAUUUUCUACAAAUUCACAUACCAAAACCAAAAAUUCAUAAAACCCUAUCCAACCAUCAGCUAGAGCACAAAAUUUAGUCGAGAAUGCAUACCUCAAUCGUCUAGUUUCGUGGCCAGAGGAGAGAGAAAUUGCCCAACGAAAAUCUGCCCAAUUCCGACGGUGUUGCGGCGGCGGAAGCGGUGUGCUUCGAAGGGGUGGUCGGCGGAAGGGCUAUGUGUGGGUUGAGGAGGCAGGACGUGGCGGUUAUGGUGGGAGGGCUAUCGGGAGAAAGAGGGAGGCGAAGGAAGGAGAUAGACCAAACCAGGGGUCAGUCGUGUUUUUCAGAAAAUUUACAAGCCUUUGAGCGACGAAGACUUAAACCGUCGUGCAACAUAUAUUUUUCUAACCCUUACGCGACAAUAAAGCUAAAACCGUUGCGCAAAAACGUCGUGCCACUCAAAAUUUUGGACCCUUGCGUGAUGAGAAAGGUGAAACUGUCGCGCAAGGCCGUCACCCUGCCCAAAAUUUCACACCUUUGCGUGACAAAAAACACAAACCGUCGCGCAAGGACGUCUGGCCGCCCAAAAUUUCAGCCCCUUGCGCGACAAAAAAAACCCAAAUCGUCGCUCAAGGACCCAAAACCCAAAAAAUUUCAGCCCCUUGCACGACAAAAAAACCCAAACCGUCGUGCAAGGACCCUAAACCCUAAAAAUUUCAGCCCCUUGCGCGACGGUUAAGCAUGAACUGUCGCGCAAGGACGUCAUGACGUUCCAAAUUUCAGACCCUUGCGCGACGACAAUUUAUCCGUCACGCAAAACGGAAACCCUGAUCCGUGAACCCUAAACCCUAAAGCCACAGUUAUACCAGAUAGCGACGAAGCUUCCGUCGUCGCAUAAAGAUAUGCGCAACGAAUAAAUUCUUUCGUCCCGCAAAACAAAUAUGCGCGACAGUUUUCUCCAUUCCACUAACGUGUGCGCGACAAUUUGCCCCGUUCGUCACGCAAAAUUUUUUUAAAAUCAUAUUACUGAAUUCCCUUUUAAAUGGAAAAAAAGUGGAUGUUCCUUGCCAUUAUUUUGAAAAAAUGAUUAGAAUGUGGAUCAUAAGGUCUGAAUUGAAUUAGGAUUGACCAUUUUCAAUUUAACAAAGACUUAAUUACUCAUCCACAACAUAGCCGGUAUAUUAUGUAUACGUAUCAAGUUAGAGUACAUUAACUUGUACAAACUCACCACAAUGUCAAUGAGGCAUAUUGUUUAUAUAAGUAUUGCUAUAUACGUAUAUUUCCUCCAUGUACACACAUACAUUAUAUAGAUGGCAUGCACAUAUAUAUAUUUAUAUAAAAAAAACCUUCAUACUUAUAUAUACAUUAUAUAUUUAUAUUUAUAUAAUUGUAUAACAUAUAAAUUUUAUAAAAUCGUAUUAAUAAAUUCCCAUAAAUAUUUAUAUAUUCUUAUAUUUCUAUACACACGAAAUAUAUAUAUAUAUAUACACACACAUAUACAGUGUAUAUUAUAACUUAGUAUAAUGUAUUAUAUACUUUGUCUAUAUUUAUAUAUAUAUAUAUAUUUGUGCGACGACACAUGUAUUGGUCACGUUAACAUCUCUUGCGCGACGAAAUAAUCCUAUUUGUCGUGUGAAGGUUCCUUGAGCGACAAUACAAAUUUAUUAUACAUUCUCGAUGAGGGUCUUGCACAUCAUAAAACUAACCAAUAUAUUACUUAGUUGGGAUUUGAUAUUACAUAAGCAUGGAUGCGAGAGAAUUUUGAACAUGCUCAAUCACCUAUAAGAGACGGAACAACUACUUGUCCAUACAUAUUGACAUGAGCAGUAAUUUCUUACUAAUAUUGUAGUAUGAUAUACUAUAAGUAAUUGGUCAGACAAGUGCAGUGAAAUGAGUUGCCAACAACUCUUAUUUAUAGCAACUAGCCCAUACUAAACAAGUUUAUACGAAUAGUUUAUUAUGGUCGUGUGAUGGUGGUCGACUUCUUGGAGGGGAUUGUGGAUAAAUUCUUCGAUGGGGUGGUGGCAUACUUCUUGGAGGCGGACUUCUUGGAGGGGGAGGUGGGGGACUUCUUAGAGAUGAUGGUGGCGGANNNNNNNNNNNNNNNNNNNNNNNNNNNNNNNNNNNNNNNNNNNNNNNNNNNNNNNNNNNNNNNNNNNNNNNNNNNNNNNNNNNNNNNNNNNNNNNNNNNNNNNNNNNNNNNNNNNNNNNNNNNNNNNNNNNNNNNNNNNNNNNNNNNNNNNNNNNNNNNNNNNNNNNNNNNNNNNNNNNNNNNNNNNNNNNNNNNNNNNNNNNNNNNNNNNNNNNNNNNNNNNNNNNNNNNNNNNNNNNNNNNNNNNNNNNNNNNNNNNNNNNNNNNNNNNNNNNNNNNNNNNNNNNNNNNNNNNNNNNNNNNNNNNNNNNNNNNNNNNNNNNNNNNNNNNNNNNNNNNNNNNNNNNNNNNNNNNNNNNNNNNNNNNNNNNNNNNNNNNNNNNNNNNNNNNNNNNNNNNNNNNNNNNNNNNNNNNNNNNNNNNNNNNNNNNNNNNNNNNNNNNNACGAUUGUUGGGUGGUGGUGGUGGUGGUGGAUUACUUGGAGGGGGUGGAGGCGAUUUGUUGGGUGGUGGCGGAUUGUUUGGUGGUGGUGGUGGUCUUAGAAAAAUAGGGGGUAGUAUCAAUGUAAUAGCACUAUUAGGUAUAGUACUAGUAGGUGGCUUGAGUUGCUCAUGAUGUUCUUCAGCAAGACAUGAAGUGAUGAGAACCACCACUCCCAGCAAUAGCACAAGAAAUUUUAAGUAACUCAUCUUUGAGCUUAUGAAGUUACAAAGAUCAUAUGGAGCAUCCUUUUAUAGUGGUAUGGGUGAUUGGUAAUUGUAUUUAUAAUUUUGCUAAAUAGGGUGGUUGGUGAUUGUUAUAGAUUAGAGGUCCAUGCAACAUUAAUUGAGAUCAUAAGUUGGAGAAUUUGGGCAGUUGCUUGUUUGAUAUAUGCUAGAGAACGUUCAAAAUGUAAUGCAUAUUGGUUUUUUAUUUAUUUAUUUAUUUAUUUAUAGUAUAAGUGAUAUUAUAAACUACAGGAGAAUGAGAUUUCUCUUAUAUACACACAACUACGAUGUAGGAUUUAAAUAGAAAAACUCAUACUCUUAUCAUUGAGCUAUGAACUAGCAGAUAUUAAAUCUUACUCGUGUCAAAAGAGUUUAGGCUAAUUGCCCACUCUGAAAUGAAUGAGAAUGAGGGAGAUAAAAUUGUCAUAAAAGGACAGAACAAAAUAAUACAUAAGUUUUCUAAAAAUAAUAAUACAUAAUUUUUUAACAAAAAUAGCAACGGGCAUCCUUUUUUCUUCUUCUUUGGUUUGGUCCUCCCGUUCUAUUCACGGCAAUACCACUGAGGUGAUUGAGAAAUAGGCAUUGACAAUAAUACAUAAAUUUAAAGUCUAAACUCCAAGCUUAGCUUAGGGUUAAGUAUCCAAUAUUAAAGUUUAUGUCUUCCCUUGUGCUGCUGGUAGUAUUCAUCCACUCUUCAAAAUAUAGGAAGUAGAGUUGGGGGUUUGGCAUGAUGAGGUGGUGGUGGUGGUCUCACUAUAGGGGUUGUGUGGUCAUCAAAACCCUUUUAAUUUCCACCAAAACCCUGAGAUUGACUUUGUUGGAAAAUUUAAUAUUAACUAAUAUUGAUUUUCCUAUUUGAAUGGAAAUUAAUAAAAUUUAUUGGGUUAAAGACAUGACUCUUGGGUUAAAGACAUGACUCUUGGGUUAAAGACAUCUUCACAUGGGAGGUGACAACUUUUCAGACCAAGGGAUGCAUUGUUUGCCUUUUCAGAUUGAGAUACCUUUUUAGAAAGGGUAUUUCAUCAUCUAUAAAUAGAGCAAUCCUCCUGCAGUUUUAUUCAUUCAUGUUAAUUCUCUACAUACAGACUUUCACAUAUAGAAAGCAUUAGAGUUUUCAUAAAGAGAGGUUCCUGCAUAAUUUGGUUCAAAGUUCCUUGUGAAUUGCAGUGCUUCUUUCACAAGGAGGGGAGUCGUUGUAUCCUGAGAGGUGAACGCUAGUGAACCAUAAGCACCGUUGUGGGGCGUAAUUCGUCUUAAGGUCAAAGUGUCCAACACUUGCUUCGACUCAAUCAAGGUUCUUCUAAUUCAAUUCUCCUUUUGUAAAAAUCUAUUUUAUGUGCAGUAUUUAUUUUGUUUAUUUAUAGCAAUUUAGCACUCAUAUUUCCAACAGACUUGAUUGCCCUUCAAAAAGAAGAUUUCUCUGUAAUCCAUGUGAUAUUUGUGUGAUGAACUAACUCUUAGUCGAGUAGUAUUUAUUUUCCUAAUACAAAAAGAUGCGUCGAAUUGAAACCCUGUUCCUCUUAAUUUCCCCCUCAAACAGUUUGAGGGUAAAGUUAGUCUUAUGAUAUUAUGACUGUAGAGAGCUAGAACCAAGCAAAACAUUUUGUAUAUCUUUUCCUGUUUCUGGGUUUUAGGUUUAGCCCUUCCUUUUUUGGUUCGUUAGGCUCUUGGUUUCCUUUUAUUUUUUGGGCCGACGGAUUGAAUGUCAAAACCCAAAAUAUGUAAGUUCCAUAUACAUUUUCCAAACGAAUCUUAUGAUCUAAAUUGAAGAAUUUUAUGAUCUAAAAUUGUUGGUCGUAGGUAUUUUAUGGUUGGAGCCCUUCUGUUGUUCUUUGGGCUCAAGUUUAUUUACUUAUUUUGGGCUAUUUAUGACUUUUUGGGUCCCUUUCAAUUGAAGGGUCACUCUCAAAUAGAACAUAUUAUUGCUGGAAAUAGUUUUGCUCGUGAAAAAUAAAGAAAUUCGGUUUGCUGGAAAUAGCCAUUGACAAUAAUACAUUUUAAAGUCUUAAACUCUAAACUUAGCUUCGGUUAAAUAUUCCAUUAAUGGCAGAAUGUUAAGGCUAAAAGUGUAGGAAUGCCAGCCAAAGGGUAUUAUUAACUAGGGCUGGCAAUGGGUCGUGUCGUGUCGGGUUCGUGUCGUGUCGGGAUAAUAAACGUGUCAAGAAUGCUCAACCCGAACCCAACCCAUUUAAUAAACGUGUCGUGUCGGGUUCGGGUCGUCUUUUAUCGUGCGGGUUUCGAGUCGUGUAACGGGUUCAUAAAGAAUAACAUGCAUGUUACAAAACUCACAACCGAAAAAAUUUUAAUUAAAAAAAACAGAGAGAGUGGAGAAAAUAUAAGGAAAAGAAAGAAAGAAAAAAGAUAGAGAGAGGAGAGAAGAGAGAAGGAAAAGAAAGAAAAAAAAAUAGAGAGAGAGAGGGGGAGAGAGAGAGAGAGAGGAGAGAAGAGAGAAGGAAAAGAAAGAAAAAAAAAUAGAGAGAGAGAGGGGGAGAGAGAGAGAGAGAGGAGAGAAGAUUGAAGGAAAGAAAGAAAGAAAAAAGAGAGAUGAGAGAAAACUAAAGAGAAGGAAAAAAAAAGAAAAAAAAAAGGAGAGAAGAGGAAAGGAAAAGAGAAGAAAAAAAAAAGAGAGAGGAGAAGAAAGAAGGAAAAAAAAGAAAAAAAAAAUGGAGAAGAGAGACGGAAAAGAAAGGAAAACUCAAAAGAAAAAGAAACAUUAUAAAUAUCAAAAGGCAUACCAUAAAAUCACAAAGUUAGUUGUAGCAUGGUGGAUAAGUUGUUUGAGAAAAUGAGGAUGGGAGGGGUUCGAAACCCCUUGUGUGUGUGUUGAAGUCUCCAUUUGUCUUUAUUUUUUAGCGGGUUAGAGGGUUGUACACGGGUUGACACGACCCGUGACACGACCCGUUUAAUAAACGGGUUAGAUAGGUAUUAUAGCGGGUUAGCGGGUUGACUCGAAACCCACCCGUUUAUUAAACGGGUCAGAACGGGUUGACCCGAAAUUGACCUGUUUUUUUAUUGUGCGGGUUGAACCCGCUAAUUUCUCGUGCGGGUUUCGAGUCGUGUAUCGGGUCGUAUCCGAAAUUGCCACCCCUAUUAUUAACUGCGUCCAAGAAGCAUACUAAUAUCUUCUUUAUACGUCUGUGAGUCAUUAGUGAAUCUUAAUUGGUAUCAUGCUUUAUGCAUGGUUACUUACUUUGAUAUUCAAGGAGUAGAAGAAAUAAAUUUAUUGUGGUGUGGUAAUUUAAAUCAUGAAUAUAUAUAUAUAUAUAUAUGCAUGGAGCUUCCGUUAAGCGAUUCCUUAAAUAAGUUUAUUUGAGAUACACUCUUGUAGGGCCCACCAUACAUUGUAAUUCAUUAAUCCCAAUCAUCUUUGAAAAAAAUCACUUGAAUCCGAUAUCAUUUGAUCACUCAAUUAAAUUAUUGAAAUUUUAAUAAUUUCUUGACGCACCGUGUUCAUUGAUUUUGUAGGACACAAUUAGAUGUCUAAAUGGUUUCUGAUUUAUGUAAUUUUUUGCAAAGAUGAUUUAUAAAUGAAGAUUUCAAAAAUAGAUGGUUUGGAUUGUUAGAAAAAUAUUCGUAGGAUACCCUAAAGGUUCUACUUGAAAUAAAAUUAUUUGAGGGAUCUCUCAAUAGAAGGAUUGAAACACCUGAUUUGCACUAUCUCUGGAGCAAGACUAUUACAACUUGUUAAUUCAAAUUCAACAGAUUUACGCUAUAUACAUAAUUGUAAUCGUAAUCAUAUGAUUCAAACUUGAAACCCCAUUCAACUAAGUGAAUACAGCUACCCAUAAAAUCAUAAACUAGUUGAUACCAUAAUUAUUUAAUAUAAACAAAUUUUGAAUCCGUAUUUUCUGUUUAGUACCGUGCCUUUAUGCUGCUUUGUUCAUAUACUUGUAGUCUGCUAGUGAUGAAAAUGUUUGAGAUUAAAUUUAUUGAAGAUUUCCUGAUUUUGCUAGUUCUGUUUGCCAACCGAUUAUAAUUCUUUGUAUGUUCUGAAACCUUUGUUCAACAUGGUGGGUUUUAUAAUUUAGAAUAGAAGCUUAAAUUUUAUGAAUAAAACUUACUCACUUGGGAAAUAAUUGUUUUUUAAACAAAGAGAAUCUGAACAUAUGCUCCCUCGGAUACAAAGCAAAUUAGAACACCAACUUGUCCAAACAUAAUGAUGAUGACAUGAGCAUUGGUUACAAACACUAAUAAUUAGUUUAUGGUCAUUAAUUUGGAUGAAUAUGUGGUGUUGAGUUUGGGGUGUGGGGUUGUCUUGUAGUAUGGGGGCAGCUUCUAAUUAUAUAUGGAGCUGGAGUGAAUUUAAUAUAUAUCUUUCCCUGUGCUGGUAGGAUUCAGGACUCUUCAGUAUAGGAGGUAGAGUUGGGGGUUUGGCAUGAUGAGGUUGUGGUCUCACAAUGGGAGGUGAAGAACUUGGUGCUUUUUUUAAUAUAAUAUAAUUAUAAAUUAAUUUAAUUUACGGAGAAGGGAAUUUGAGCUUCAGUGCAGGAGGGGCCGGCUUACUAUCCUAGCCAAUUGGCUUACAUCUGUAAAGAACUUAUUGAUUUGACAGGUGGCUCUACUAUGAGAAAAACUUAUAUGAAACAGGGAUAUCACGGUUUUGCUAUCCCUAACCAAUUAUGCUAUGCCAAGUGGAAAAGUUAUCACGUGUGGCAUAGCAUGAUUGAUAGAGGAUAGCAAACCAGUGCUAUACCCAUUGCACAUAAGCAAGGUCUAAAAUAUCGAGAAAAUAUUGGACUCGUUCAAGGUUAAAGAAAACUUAAAAAACAUUAGCCUCUCUCUCUCUCUCUCUCUCUCUCUCUCUCUCUCUCUCUCUCUCUCUCUCCUUGCCGACAACCAACCUUUCUUAAGCUAGGGGAGGUGUCCACUGCCGCUCCUCCCCUCUGCCCAUCUUCUCCAUUCCUAUCCUCUCUCCCAUCUUUUUCCAUUCCUCUCAUCUUUUUUCUCCCUCUUUCCACUUUCCUUAGGGCUCUUGCUGGCCCUUAUCUCCCAUUCCUCUUCUCCUCUCUAGAUAUACUUAGAUCUUGGGCUUUUAGCCUUGAUUUAUUUGGAUCUAGGUAUGUUUGUGUGUUUUUUUUGUUUGGCUAUUUUUGCACUGUUCUAGGUGGCUGGUGUUGUCUUCAUCUCGGUGGCUACAUGUAACAUCCCACAUCGACUUACGAAGAGGGGAUGAUGUGACUUAUAUGUACAUGCUCACCUCCAUCUAGCACGAGGCCUUUUGGGAGCUCACUGGCUUCGGAGUCAUGAGAACUUCGAAGUUAAGCGAGUUUGGGCUAGAGUAAUCUCAGGAUGGGUGACCCAUUGGGAAGUUGCUCAUAAGUUCCCAGAAACAAAAAUCGUAAAGGCAGGGGGCCCAAAGCGGACAAUAUCGUGCUACGACCGAGCCGAUCAGGAAUGUGACACUGCAACAGUAGUGACGCUGGAUUGGGUCUCUCUCUUUAGGAGAGUUGGGAUACUUGGUGACUAAUAUUUUGUCUUUGUUUCAACGAUCGCGGCAGCAUCGACGCUGGUUGUAGUUGUUGGCAUGUGGUGGUGUGCCCUCUGAGGGGUUUCGUCUUCUGUUUUAGCAUAUGUUUUGUUGUCAUUUUCCAUUGUUUUGUUGCUCAUUUGCAGCUUGUCUCUACUCUGUGCAGCCCAAAGACCUAUGUUUGGUCAUAUGAGUUCCUUUGUCAUGUUCUAAGUUGAGUUGGAGUGCUUUUAAGAGGCCUCUCUUAUUAUUAUUUCAUGCUCUUCAACUGUGUGCUUUCUUGGGUUUCUGUCAUUUGUGUGUUUUUGUAGUUCGUAGGCAGUUAAAUGACUAUGAGUUUAUCUCAUAAAAGGCUUCUUUUGACAAUUGGGAUGCGAUGCGGUUCUCUUUAUGGGUCUAUUGUGUUAGUGUUUAAUUGAUUUUUUUUUUUCUGUUCUUGUAAUGGUCUUUUGUGGUUCAGGUCUUAGUCCUUGGCAUGUGUAGUACUCUUUCCUAUCCUAGGGUUUGUCUAAAGUGGUUUUCCUAAUAAGGUUUUAAUUAGGCUAUUGUAUUCAUACUAGUCUUUGUAUGCCGUUUUGGCUUAUUAAUGAAAUCUUCUUCUAUAAAAAAAGGUCUAAAAUAUCAAGGGUUUAGGAAAUAUCGGAGGUCCAAAAAUACGGAAAUAUUGGGAAAUUAUCGAUAUCGAGAAAAAUUGAAUAAAAACCACUGAAACUGUAAGAAAAUUUUGAUUCAAACUUUAGAGGUUGUUUAUUUUGUCAAUUAUCUAUUAUUUUGAUUUAUUUAAGUUGAUUAUAUAGCGAGCUAACAAACAAUAUGAGUGCAGAAAAUAUGUAGUAAUUAAUGAAAAAAAUUAAAUGCCCAUAAUCAUUUAUUCAUAAUGAUUUACUAUAAUAUUUUACACUUUAUAUAUUGCAUGGUAAGAUGCACAAGUGACUUAGUACCACAUAGAGUUCCUAUGAGGUUCAAAAUUUUCAUUGUCUUCAUCGUCUCUAUGUGUAGAGUACGUGUACUAUGAAGAGUAGUCAUCAAAUGGUAAAUUCCCAAAAUAGCUUUGCAUGUAAUUGUUAACAUGUCACCCAUAAAGAUCCAAGAUUGGUUGACGUUGCCCAUAAGCAAAAUCAUUUGAAGAUUGGGCAUCAGAUUCUUUUCAUGAGCCGCUUGAUUCUAUCCCAAAAGGCAUGGGAUACGAAGCAUAAGGAAAGAGUUGGUUUUGCAUAUAAUAAAGUCAUUAGCAGUGUGGAGGAUAAGGCAUUGGAGGAAGAAUUGAAGUGGCACGGGUUCGAAUCCCCAUGCUUACACGCGUACAAGCCUUUUCAAUUUUUUUUUUUCUAUUCCAUGUCCAUAUUGCAUUAUUAUCACUAUUAUCACGAUAUUUUGAGCAAAUGUUGAUGUUAAUUGAAGGAUAUUAUUAGUGUCGAAAUUUUCCCAAAAUUUUCACGAUAUUAUCUAUAUAUAUAAAGCAAAAGGCAGAGAAUGGUGAAACAUUCAAAAUACCAGAAAAUGCCCUUGGUUAAUACAAACAUUAAGAAUUGAAAUUAUUAAUUAAAUGAGGAUAAUAUGGUAAAUUCAUAAUUUUUCGUAUUAAAAAAAUUAAAAUUAAAAGAAAAUUCAGAUAAUAGGUCCUAUUUUUAUGGAACACAAAUAUCCAUUAUCUUUUUUAAUUCUAAAAUAAAUUUAAAUUUUUUUUAAAAAAAACCUCUCGCAUGCGCGGAAGCGCGUGUAGAGAGGCUAGUCUAUAUUUAUAUGAUAAGUACACAGAUCUGUUCCAAAAUAUCCCCUUGCCGAAAAACGAUAAUAUCCUCAAUAUUUCAGCGAUAUUAUCGAUAUUUCAGUCCUUGCACACAAUUAAGUUUCUCCUCUACUAUAGCACAAUCUCCAAACAAUAGCACACGCAACUUUGAGAAACUUUUGAAAGCAAUUUUCCAUCAAAAUCCUGAUAUUGAUUUGAUUGCCCUCCACAAGAAAACAUUCUAUGUAAUCAAUUUGACACGUGUGAUCAUAUUGCCCUUAAUAUAUUAGUACUUUUUUUCUUCUUCUGAAAACAAGAAGAGGUUUCAAAUUUAAAUCCCUUUUCCGUUAAUUUUUUUUUAAAAAUGAUGUUGGUGUAGUGCCUAUUAAAGAUGGCUUGGCGGUAAAGUUAGUCUAAUGAGAUUCUAAGAUAUAGAUGGAUUGUUUAGUUCAAGAUUUAGGAGCUUAGUAAUUGGUAUGAAAUUGCAUUCCCAUAUUUGGUAAAUGCAUUUUUUAGAAUGCAAUACCUAACUCAUUAGUAUGAAAUUCUCAUGUAGAGAGAAUUUCAUACCUUUAGUGCUCCUUGGGAAACUCUUCGUCUAUUGACCCUUAAAAUAGGGUCUAGUCUAGUGGAAAAGAGCAUUGACUUGCAGGUCAGUUGUCUCAUGUUUGAAUCUAGAUGGCACUUUGGAUGUGAGAAACCCUUUUGUAGGACUUAGACUAUCAAUAAUAUUAAAAUAAUACUAAUAAUAACUCAAGGGUGUUACUGAAAAACUGAAAAACUGAAAACUGAAAAACUUUUCAUUUAUAAUACUACACGAACCACACAUAGGAAUGCGAGAAAAUGGCUUUUCCUAAUUCUCACUUCCCAGCGUUCCCAAUCAUGGGAAUGAACAUCCGUCAUUCCCAUAUCGUAGGAUUAGACAUGGAAAUUUCAUUCCCAUGAAAUUUGCAAACCAAACGGGACAGAGAGUUGGAACAAUGCAAAGAUUUUGUUUAUCUUUUGGUUGGGCCAAUAAGUUUCUGGGCCUCCAUUUAUUGUAUCUGGGCCGUUAGAUUUCGGCCUCCCUGUUCUGUUUGUAACCCAGCGGAGGUUGGAGCGCUUUUCUUGUUCUUUGGGCUUAGUUAUAUUUCCUUGUUCUUUGGGCUAUUUCUAAAUUAUUUGGGUUGUGCCUUUUUCUGCGUUUGACGUCGUUUAAUGUUUAAUUUGUUUGAUUUUUGAGUUGGAGCUGGUUGGGUCCUUCUCAUUUGAAGGUAGGGUCAGUCUCAAAUGGAAAAUAUUAUUGCUUGAUGUGAAAAAUAAAGAAAUUCGGUUUUGUGGGCUUAUGGCCUAAAUUAAUUGAGGAAUAAUGCCAUUCAAAAGACUGAAUUAACAUGACCCACAUUUUUCCAUCCUGGAAAACUUGUUCCUUAAGCAGAUCAUGGCUACUGAUGAAGUAAAGAAGAAAGGGAUGCUUAAAAAGAGAUAUAUAUAUAUAUAUAUCAAAUGAGCCAAGAAUUAAUGAAAUUUUGUAAAACUGAGAUUACUGAAUUACUUGAAAAAGGAAUAAUCUGUAAGAUUAGUCACCCUGGUCUUGUCCUGCUUUCUAUGUCCAGAAAAAUGCUGAAUUAGAACGCGGAGUCCUAAGAUUAGUCAACCCAAGUGGCUGGUUUAGAUUUUCUGAGUCAAAAGAGUCUUUGAGCACAGCUUCAAGAAAGUCACUCCAGUUGAAUUAUGAGAUUCCUAAAGCCCAUGUCUGUCAAAAUAAAAUCUGUUUUAAGACUUCUUUUGUCUUAGUUAAGAACAUUACUGAUGAAGUCAUCCUAGGUUUAUCCUUUAUUGCCCUUUUAUAUCCUUUCCAGGUAGAACACGAUGGAGUCAUUUCCACCUGUUUAGGAGAAAAGGUUAAGUUUGAAUUCCUUAGUAAACCAGAGUUACAUAAUUUAAAAGAAUUACAAAAGAAUGCAGUCACUAAAACAAUCAGAGUCAUUCAAAAUAAAGAUAAGCAACUAAAAUUCCUCCAGGACGAAGUUAAAUAAAAAAGAAUUGAGCAACAGCUUAGUCAUGAGUCUUUACAGUCACAAAUUCGACAGUUUGAAGAAAAAUUAAAACAAGAAGUUUGUUCUGAGUUGCCCAACGCCUUUUGGCAUAGGAAACAGCAUGUAGUCAGCCUUCCUUAUGUCAAAUCCUUUAGUGAGAAAAAUAUCCCCACUAAAGCCAGACCAAUUCAAAUGAGCCAAAAAUUAAUGGAAUUUUGUAAAACUGAGAUUACUGAAUUACUUGAAAAAGGAAUAAUCCGUAAGAGUAAGUCACCUUGGUCUUGUCCUGCUUUCUAUGUCCAGAAAAAUGCUGAAUUAGAACACAGAGUCCCAAGAUUAGCCAUUAAUUACAAACUGCUUAAUACUGUUUUAGAAUGGAUUAGAUAUCCAAUCCCCAAUAAAAGAGAUUUAAUUAAUCGUUUAGAGAAGUCAGUCAUCUUUUCUAAAUUUGAUAUGAAGAGUGGAUUUUGGCAAAUCCAAAUUUGUGAGUCUGAUAGAUAUAAAACUGCUUUCGUUACCCCAUUUGGUUAUUAUGAGUGGAAUGUUAUGUCAUUUGGUCUUAAAAAUGCACCCAGUGAGUUUCAAAAUAGAAUGAAUGAGAUUUUUAUUCCAUUUAAUCACUUUUCCAUAGUCUAUAUUGAUGAUGUACUUAUAUUUUCUGAGUCAAUAGAACAGCACUGGAAAAAUUUGCAUAAGUUCUUACAAAUAGUCAAACAAAAUGGAUUAGUCGUAUCUGCUAAGAAAAUUAAGUUAUUCCAAACUAAUGUGAGAUUUCUUGGGUUUAAUAUCUGUCAGUCACAGAUUAGCCCCAUAGAUCGAGUUAUCCAAUUUGUUGAUAAAUUUCCUAAUCAAAUCCUAGACAAAAGUCAACUCCAGAGAUUUCUAGGAUCUCUAAAUUAUGUUUCUAAUUUCUAUAAGAAUUUGAGAAAACAAUGUAAGCCUUUAUUUGAUCAUGUAUGGAGACGUCUAAUGAUAAGAGGCAACUGGAAGAUUAGACGGAGCAAUAUCUUGGAAGGGAUCAUGACUGGAUAUUAGGGCAGACUGAAAACUGGGGCGAACCUGGCCGACUGUGGCUCCUAGGUUGGCAAAUCUGUUACUAAUUUGGAUGGGAGAAAAUCCCUGAAAGGGGAGGAUCUGAGCAGGUGACUCUUGUUUGGCUUGACUCAUUGAUGGAGGGAGGACUCGGAGUGACUGGGGUUGACUAGACUGACCAACUUGACUCUUUUGCUUGUCUUUUUCUUUUCUUCUUUAUGCCAUUGUUUUCCCUGCAGGAAUUCUCUAGUAAGAAAAUCAGGGACAAAAUAUAUAUAUGGAGUUUGAGUUGAGGGAUCUCUCAAAUAAGCUUAUUUGAGAGACAACUUGUAGGGUACACUCUUUGUUGUAUUUCACUAAUCCUAACCGUCUAUUUUUUAGAUAUUCAUUCAAAGAUCAUCUCUACAAAAAAUCACUUGAAUCCAAUAUCAUUUGACAAUUCAAUUGAAAUAUUGAAAUUUUAGUAUUUUCUUGAAGCACUGUGUUAAUUAAUUUUGUAUGACACAAUUGAAUAUUGAAAUAGUUUCCGAUUUGUCCAAUUUUUUUUCAAGGAUGAUCUAUAAUUGUAGGCUUAAGAAAUAGAUGGUUUGGAUCGUUGAGGGAUCCCUCAAAUAAUCUUAUUUAAAAGACACCUUUGUAGAGCUCACUCCACAUUGUAUUUCACUAAUCUAAACCGUUUAUUUUUUAGAUAAUCAUUCAAAGAUCACCUCUACAAAAAAUCACUUGAAUCCGAUAUCAUUUGACAAUUCAAUUGAGUUAUUGAAAUUUUAGUACUUUCUUAAACUACCGUGUUCAUUGAUUUUGAAGGACAUAAUUGGAUUUCGGUUUCUAUUUGUCAAAAUAUAUAUAUAUUGAACUACUUUUUGUUGCCAUUGUCUGCUGCUAGAUUCACACACACAUAUAUAUGCUCUUCCAUUGAUGAAGCUGGCAUUAUAUUUAUAGUGAAUUUCGUGAUGUGGAUUAUUGUGUUUGCGGACCAAUCAUUCUCUGUAUGUUGUGAAAGCUUUGUUUAUCAUGGUGGGUUUUGUCAUUUAAAAACAUAUACAAUGUCAACCAACCAAUUUUACAAUAUCAUAAAACACAAGUAAUAGUAUUACUGCAGUUGGAAAUUGAUAUUGCAUACAUAUAUAAAGCAAGAAACAACAUGCUCAAUCAGCCACAAGUGAAGAAACAACUUGCUGAUACAUAACCACAUGACAUGAAAAUUUCAUGCAAAUAACUAGUAAUUAUAAUGGAGUCACACUAGAAGCUGCUGCAAAAUGAGUUGGUGUCCAGAACUCUUAUUUCUAGCAAGCAACUGGCUCUCUCUCAUUUAUUCUAACUCACUAGUUGAGAUGGACAGGUGGAGUUCAGGGCUUCUGGGGUGGAUUGUAGUAUGGGGGAGGCUUCUUCUUAUAUGGAGUUGGAGGAGGAGGAGGUUUCUUCCCUUCUGGCUUUUGUGGGGGUAGAGGAGCCUUGAUUGGAGGAGGGUGUUUAGGGUAACUAGGUGUGAUUGGUUUCACAACAGGAGGUAGAGUUGGUGUCUUAGGAUAAGGUGGUGGAAGUGGCUUGGUCACCGGCGUAGGUGGCGGUGAAUGUACAAUAGGAGGCUGAGUGCUUGGUGGUUUGCCAUAAGGUGAGGAUGGUGGUGGCCUCACCACUCUAGGAGGCAGAGUUGGUGGUUUGGGUUUGGGCACUAUUGGUGGUGAUGGCUUGUUAUAAACUGGGGGUGAUGGCUUCUUGAUGGGAGCUGGGGGCUUGUAAAUAGGAGAAGGAGUUGGUGGUUUGGGUUUGGGCACUAUUGGUGGUGAUGGCUUCUUGAUGGGAGCUGGGGGCUUGUAAAUAGGAGAAGGAGUGGGUGGCUUGGGUUUUUCAUUGUACUCAGCUAGAGAUGAAGUGAUGAGAACCACCAGGCCAAACAAUAGCACAAGCAACUUUGAGUAACUCAUG
rnacentral:lncRNA from 1 species